GAAUUGCGAGCAGCGCGCUGGCAAGGAAGCGGUUAGCUCGCUCCAGGGCGGCGUCUCGUCUGGGCCAGGUGUCCGCGCGGGCGUACAUUGAGAACUUCGCAAUGUUGCUCCAGAGGGCGUAUUCAAGAGUGUUGUAAGACACAACCACAAAGUGGUGGUAUCGAAAAACACCGAUUGAGAUAAGUGCUUUGAUGAAAUAGCCGUUGUAGAAUCCACGCACUUGGGCUUCGCGCCGGUAAACCCCCCUGUACGACUGGGCGACGCGACCUUCAGAUGACCGUAAUUCAAACAGGAAUUAGUUUCGAGUCUGCUGACCAGACGAAUCAUGGACGCAUGUCCCAGCUUUACUCAGGUAAAGCCCCCGUCCAUACGCAGGUAUGGACUUCCGCAGCAGUGCGGCAUUAAGAUGGCGAUCUCGGCCAACAGUAGUCGCAAGCCGCCGGUUAAUAAUAGAAUUAGGCAGUCCUGUAAACAUAGACAGUACAUGCUGACAUGCUUAAGUUAAUUGUAGCAAUAGUUGAGAAGACCUAACAGAUCGGGCCUCCAAAAGAAAGAGCCGCGAGCUUAACAGAAUUGCCUACAGGAUACAACAAAGCGCAAUUAACUCGGCCCCCACUGCACCCUCACAGCAAAUCCGCAAGACGUUCUGCACCUCCUCUCCGCUAACAAAUAAGAGGAAAUAAGUUGUUGCCUGGGCUGGGAGAGCGCCCCGGUUGGCGUGAGUGAGGGAGUGAGGCGCGCGCGGAGGAACAGACGGACGUAGAGCCGCGCGCCCGCCCCUGCGCUGUGUCUCGGCCCGGUCAGGGCCCCCGGUGCUCGAGCCGCCCACAGUAUAACACCCCAUCAACUUCCGUUGGAACCAUUGUGUGGAGGGCUUAGAGAAAUAAAUUGUUUCAACGCGCCGCCCUCAACAAAGUGAACUGGAGGAUGAGAUAUCCCUGUGGCCGAUUACCAACGCAACAAUCUACAAGCUCCGCAUGAAUGCGACGGGCCCCCCUCCGUAAAAGCUGGAGGCCCAUGGACUAUCUUGCCCUACUCGCCUGCGCUGCGCGCGCUGUGCUCGGUCUCCCAGGCCUUCGACUGCUAACAAUAUUCCUAACCACACCCUAACCACACCCAUAGACAGCCAUAAAAAUAUAAAUACGAGUUCCCCGGACCGACUAGCGACCUCUACUUCUUCAGUCUUGCGCUAUCCCUUCUGAGAUAAAUCCGCUAGGUUUUGCGAGCAACCUAUUUGUAUACCUUUCCAAGAAUUAUUUGUAUAUUAGACUAGACAGAUUGUGCUUCGUUCGCUACGUAUGCAUGUCAGCCGGCAUGUCAGCCGGCAUGUCAGCCGGCAUGUCAGCCGGCAUGUCAGCCGGCAUGUCAGCCGGCAUGUUAGCCAGCACGUCUGGCGAGGAUGUUGGAACGUAGUAUGUGGGCUCACCGAAACUCAGUUACCCCCUUUGGACGCUAGUCUGGGCUGAUGUGCGGUGUUUCCUUUCCUCCGUGGCUUUUAGGCGUUGUAGUAUUGCCCUUGGGCCUUCGGCUCGUAUGGAUAGUUUUACAGGUAUGGGGUCACGCACCCCCCAACCAUGUAACACACACACACACACACACACACACACGCAUGUCAAUGUCCCCAUUUCCUUGGGAUGAAAAGAAGAGCAGUGUGCAACAGGGUUACAGCGGAUAUGCGGAUAUGCUUGCUCUGCAUCACACCGAAAACCCCUGGACGACCAACGUCACAUCGCUGACCCUGAUCUGCUGCCCUCGGCUCGUAUUGGGCGGUUUGCAGGUACGGAGAACGCACCCCACGACCAUGUACAACAUACACACACAUAUACACACACAUAUACACACACACACACACACACACACACACACACACACACACACACACACACACACACACACACACACACACACACACACACACACACACACACACACACACAGCUGACCCCGAUCAGCUGCUGCACUACCAAAUCUAACGAAUGACCGAUAGCGGCAAGCCUGAGCGCUUCUAAGUACUCUAUUCCGACAGUACUUGUUUUGUUAGGUUGUGGUUAGGUAAAAGUUAGGCUUCUUACAGGGGUCGGUUUUCUGUUGAACCCCCACUCGCCGGUAUCUCGCAGCCUGACGAAAUUAAAAGCUUAAUAAAUCGAUUCUAAAUCAUAAAGGAGAUCCCUAACUAAAUGGUGAUUAAUUUAGGUAAGCGGUAAAAAGAUAUCUAUCUUGUUGCCUUGUGCUUAAUAGUACGUUAGCUCUAAAAGGCUGAUGCGCGAGAAGUCUCUAGCGCAUAUACAUUUGCACAUAUACAUAAUUAAAUUCGAUAAUAAUCUAUACAAUGCUGAGAUCUUUAACCAGGAAGGUAGAAAGGGCUGCAGAGCGAAAGCACGCGCCAAUCAUACGCCUGAUUUGUCCCAGAUGGCAUAGCCAGCACCAAUUAACACAUAAAAAUAAAGCCACUACAUUAACCCAUCCAUGUAUCGUCACAAGGUUUGCGCCAUUACUGAGACCAGACGGGGUCCAACCAGGUUGCGCGAAUCCCUACAAUUCCUUGUCUCCCGCACGUCAUGCGAGGAUGUUGGAACGUAUGUGGGCUCACCGAAACUCAAUUACCAGUGUUUUUUUUUCAUUUUUGCCCGACAAUUUUCCAGUCCGAACGGAGGAAUAGGUUUUUAAUCGCGGGAAUUAAGGUAUUCCGAAUCUGUCAGGCGCUGGGANNNNNNNNNNNNNNNNNNNNNNNNNNNNNNNNNNNNNNNNNNNNNNNNNNGGGCUACGCCCCCCCCAGACCCCCCCCAAUGAGGUUUUGUUUUGUUCGUACAAACACAGGGUUUGGGGAAUGUCGCAACACGCGCACACCACAAUCUCUCCAUAGAGGUGUCUCUUGCACGCCAGGAAGCGGGGGCCACUUGGACGCUGCACGGGUGACUGCUGUUGCAGAGCCCAAGCAAACACACACCAGUUAGACCCUACUCAAGCACUGAUCAAAUAGAGUUCGUUCGCCGUCGUUCAUUUUGCAUCACGUUGAAAGAUAACACUAUACGACUUUCCAGAUUGCAAAAGUAAUGAUGCAUAGCAGCAAUGAACCAGAACCGCCAAACACAACCUCUGCAGUUGGUUGCGGCCCCUGCUGUUGAUGCUGCAUGCUAAUUAGCGGUUCAUCAUGUACCGGCUUGCUGAUGACAACAAGAGUGGCAUCAUUGUCGUCGGCUGGCUGCAGCAUUGCGUCCACAUUGCCUACGGCCUCUAGGCCGUCUUCAUUACCGUCGCUAAUGGCUUCAGUGAAGUUUAAUAUCUUCUUUAAUGGCCUUCCACGUUUUGGGAGCUUCGGGUCCGAAUAUUUUGCAGCGUUUGGUCCGGUCAGAAAAAGUCCGAUUCCUCGUUGACUUUCGGGCGUGACCUUCCUAACAGUAUCCAUGGCAUUAAAGUACUAUAAUAUGGUUAACAUGUUUGUCUCCUGUAAGAUUCUAGCGGCUUUGGCAUGGACAGCCCAUUUUUGGCUGAAGGAAUGAACUUGUACGGUCGGAACAUUAUUUAUUCUUAAUUUCCAGGACCGCGAACAUUUUUUUAUUCCGAAUUCGGAAUAUAUUCCGCAAAAAAAAACACUGUCAAUUACCCCCUUUGGACGCUAGUCUGGACUAGACACAGCGUUCCCGGCCUCUUAACCACGGAGUUCCAAAACCUAAAUACAAGAUUUGACCAUGGAGCUGGAGCGGCCUCUGUGACAGUUCACAGUAGAGGGAAGUCAUAGUCUCACCUCGCACUUGCCUACCUCGCGCCCAUGCCGCUUAAUUUGCUGCGGACUCAUCGACAUACCGUCGACGAUCUCAAGUGAAACACACGAUUUCCAGUUGCCUGGGUGGCCGGAUCGGCUCUUGCUCGGUGAGAGUUUCGACAUGUUGACUUAGGAAAAACUUUCUCCCCGGUCCCGAUCUUCCGACAUUGCGGGAAUCAAACCAGCGACUACUUUGCGUAGCGGCCAGCCCUAAUAAGGACCUUGAACCUAUCAAAUCAAGCAUAGCGUCGGACGAUAACAUCACCCUGCCCUGCCCUGCCUGCCUUGCCUUUCUGGCUUGAGUCCUAUGUCUGCUCCACAUUUCGCUUGUAAAUCUUAGUGUCAGUCAUUUUCCAACAUUACGAAGGAAUAAGGAAAUAUGGCGUUCGCAACCUCCAAACGGAGCUUGCUUCCUGUGAGCUGCCAGGUCGUGAUCAGGAUUAGUUUAUCGCGUUAUCGCGUUAGCCUAAGGGCUGUCUGAUGCUGGCUAGAAUUCUCUAAAAGGCCUGGCCCUUAAGACUGUAAAGGACAUGUUGGUAAUAAAGGGAAUUCUGCUAGUUUCUGAGGUUUCUCCCCAGGCGGGCAUACGUUGUGUGCUGAUUUGUAAUUUAAUGUGCCGUAGCUGCAGGGAUAAAAGAUAUUCGAAUGAAACCUGUAUUAAAAAUGUCCUUAUGCGGCUGAAAUAGCGCUGUCCUUGUUGUCCUGGCGACGCCGUGCCCGCUCGUUCCAGCUCGUUCCAGCUCGUUCCAGCUCGUUCCCUUGCUUUGUCAUCUUCCCCUGUAAAUUCCUGCUCGAAUUGAAGGCCUUCGGUAAACAUCUCGCGCUGUCCAUAUAACAUGUAAUUAUUAUACGAGUGUCGAUCAUAUUCCAACACUCCUGUGUCGCCGAGCGAUGGACGCUGCCAUCACCAACUGCAGUUGGGCCGCGCUUACCCAAACUCCAACAAUGAUGCGUAGCUGUUAAUCAGCAGGGCAGCAUGUUCGUUUCGGCACCUCACAGCUAUAGGCGCAUGUAUAUGCAUGCGUCGAAUGAGCUUGAGGAAAUACACCUUUGCUUGAUAUCCAGGCAUGCAGAUCCGAAUCAGAGAGAUCGACUUCACAGCAAAAAUGCCAAAAACAUACUAUGAUUUCUUAUUGAAGCUUAAUAAACCUAUCAUGACGGUAAACAAGCAUCGCGAAUAAGAAAAGAGCACCGCCCUUGCAAGUAGUGCCGGCAGCGACAACACCGCAGCCAUGCUCAGCUCACGACACGGCCCAGAAAAGCAGUUUCGAAACUGUGACAUGUUGUGCUGCUGGAAGCUACCACGAGAACAACAGCCUGAAAACCUGCGAACCUUACGCUACGGUUGCAUUCCAGCCUCUGGACAUAGUUAAGCAUGGGCGGAUAAAGUUCCAUAAAGAUACAUGUUAGAAGAUACAUGUUAGAAUGUUGUUUCGUUUGAAGUGCGAGGUAGGAUGGUGCUUAUAGGCGAUCUGGCAGCCCUUGAGCCCUCGGCUCGUAUUAGGGUGGUUUGCAGGUACGGGGAACGCACCCACGACCAUGUAACCACAGCAACAUGUUAGAAGUUCCGUACACAAGUGCGGGUGUGUCCGUAAAAUCAGGGGGCCCAUAGACGUUCUAUUGAUAAUGAGCGGGUAGCGGGGGCCCAUCAUCAUCCUCCCUCGUUCGCUUCAGGGCGAAGCGCCUCAGCACGACGUGCCUGGCCUCCCAGAUUUCCUAGAGGUACCUGGCCAAUGCCAGGGAUGGCGCCUCAGUCAUAAUGGUGCGCAUGCUGCGCCCCUCAAAGACUAGGUCACCAUCGUACUUAGCCCGUAUGCUCUUGUAAGCGGGGCAUUCAUCAAAAACGUGCAAUUCAUCUUCAACCGCUCCACAGUCACAAAGCCUGCAGGUACGCGCGGUGCACUCACGCCCAUUAGGCCUAUUAAACGCUUAACUCCCAACGGCCUAACCAGAAACGUAUGAGCACUUGAUGCAGUCGCUGGGGCAUGGUUACUUUAGUGUGCUCCAGCCAAUCGAGACGCACACCCCUAGGCGGGGCCGCUCCCAUCCAGUUCAUAUAGCGAUAAGCCUUAAGCUUGGCUCCGGUAAUCCCUAUGGGGAAAACGCGGGGGUCACCAAAAGUAUUCGGACACCCCCACCGUGCAUCAAUACCUUAAGAAUGCUCUCGACCGGCAAUUUAAGGGUGGCGUAAUGCGCUAUGAGUUCAUCACCGCGCGUAUUAGUGGGGGUUUCUGCUCCCACGCUAGUAAGAAAGGCUAGUACCUAGCUUGUCCAGCACUCAGUAACGCCAACGAGUGCCAAUUCUAGGUCAGCGACAAAUGCCCGAUGACACAGCGUUCCCGGCCUCUUAACCACGGAGUUCCAAAACCUAAAUACAAGAUUAGUCCAUGGAGUUGGAGCGGCCUCUGUGACAGCUCGCGGUAUAGGGAAACCAUAGUCGGGCUCCUCACCCCAACUACAGAUCGCAUGUACGCACGCUGCUCCUGGACCAUGGGAUUAGUCAUAGCGCCUUCAAAACUCACAUUUAUGAAGUCAGGGUCCCCAAGCUUGCGCUCCAUAGGGAAUCACCGGUACGACUAGUGUAUUAUAGAGAGACAUACAUAGCUUGGGGACGGUAAUUUUCUUAUCUCGACAGAGUGCUGAGCCCGAACGUGGCCCGCCUCCCUGCUGUGAGUAGUUGCUUGGUACAUGCUGAAAACUGCACUCCCGGGCCAUAGUGCAACCCGAGGUACCGUGCAGUCUCGUUGCCGGUCAGCACCUGCAACCCCCACCCCACCUAGCCGGUACUCAGCUUCCAUAAGCCGCUUCCGCUCACGCGUAGUGCCCUCGAAAAUGAGGACUUCACACUUGGCGGAAUUCGCGGCCGUACCCGUCGACUUGCAGUAGGCUUCGAGUAGCCCCAGAAGGCAUUCAGCUCUAUCGUGCCCAGUCGCCACCAGUGACCCAUCGUCAACGAAAAGCAGGUUGGUGAGUUCACCGCCCGCCAGGCUAACACUCUGCUCGCGGAGGGUGCUCCAUCGGCUAGGAAGGCGUACACGGCAAUCAGCAUCGUGAGCAUCAAUGUAAUGAGCGAAUACUUCUAUGAAGAGUCCAAAAAGGGUUACGCUAAGGGGCCACCCUUGCUUCACACCACGCCCUACCGUGAAUUCAGGUCCCAACCUAUUCCCAACUUGAUCCGAAACUUCACGUCAGCAUAGCUAGCCUUCAGAUAAACAAGGACGCGCCCGUGUAGUCCAUACGACUUGAGGAAGCCCCAUAGUGUCUCACGGUCAACGGAGUCGAACGCCUUACUAGAGUUAAUCUGAGUCAAUUUGCAUGAUUAUAAGCGACCUGGCUCCGGCCACAAAUUGCUUUCAGAUAAGAUGCCUCAAUGUAAACAAAGUGGUUAUCGGUGCCAAAACCAUGCCUACAUCCAGCCUGGCUAGCGGCACGUAGCCUGUUGCCCUCACAGUAAUUGGUGAGUCGCCUCCCAAUGACAUGGGCGAAAAGUUUGCAAAGUGGGCCCCCAACCGCAAUGCCCCGAUAAUUGUCACAGCAGGUAGCGUCCCCUUUUUUUGAAAACGGGGGAAAAGGUGCUAGUUGUGAAUCCUCGCGGGUAUUUAGCUCCGUAUAUGCGGUUGUAUAGCACCGUUAAGUAAGGCGCCAAUACAAACACGGGCUGCUGCCCUUCACUUUCCUUGAUAGUGUACUUAUAAUACUCGGCCGGAGUUCCUCCCGGUCCCCCGACUUCUUGUUGCGCAAAGCCUAAAUAUAUACCCCCUCAAAACAAUGCAAAAAGGAAGCCAUAGAUAUAAACCCUAAAACAAUGCAAAAAGGAAGCCAUGUAUAUAACCCCUCAAAACGAUGCAAAAAGGAAGCCAUGGCCACGAGGUUGUCAUCAAACGUCAUUAGGGACGGCAGAGAGAUCGAUCACCCGGUUGAUUAAUCUUAUAAGAGACUAUCUAGCGAGUGAUAGCUACGGCAUGCUGUUCGAUCGAUCGCUGGAUCGAGUGGCAUCUGCCUCCACCUGCUGCUGCGAAUAGACGCACGCGCGGUUGCGCUACACUGGGCAUUACUACGGACGUGACCAGCGGCUCGUGAGCACAGCGAGGCCUUGUGCUCCUCGGAGGUCAGCCGUGCUCGCUAGCUAGCUGGCUGGCUGGCUAGGCAGACCAGACGGCUGCUGGACCAGUAAUAAGAGCUCUGCGCCCUGCCAAUCGCAUGCUUUAUGCCUUAUGUACACAUUCAGAGCGAACGCGUAGAUCACACACGCACAAUAAUCAUAACCAGUACACCACCACGCUUGUUUCGCAUUACAAGCGCACGUGCUUAUCGUGGUCAGUUUCCUUUUCCUUCUGAUGGUUGGUAAUAGAUAUUUCAAGGCAUGCACGCACUGGCAUAAGUCUAGCAAGUUCACUUUCGAUUCACACUUCAAGGGUUAUCCAAGCACCCGGACUCGGCACAUCAUACGACCAGCUCUAUCUUCACCUUUCAGAUAGACCCUCGGCUCGUAUUGGGCGGUUUGCAGGUACGGGGAACGCACCUCACGACCAUGUAAAACACACACACACACACGCAGAUAGACAUACAGACUUCUGCGCCUGCCUCCUGCCCCACGCCUGCUCCUCGUAAUCUUCCUUUUUAUUUUUUCGAAAUGUACGAAUAAUGCAAUAUCAGUCCACAGUAGGCAUUAAUGUGUCCCGCAGCGUGGUGAUCGACCCAUCACAUCUCCUACCUUAACUCCAAUCGAUCUACCUUACGACACCUUAUUAACAGUCGCCUUACCCCUACCUGGACACAAACGUGUUGAGGGCAAAAAAAAUUAUAUGACAGCGGUUUUCUCCUGCCUCGCUAGCUGUCGCACAAUGAUGUGGUCGGACAACAACAAGAAUCAAGAUACGAGCAGCUAGACUGACGACGUCGCAUCACAACUCGUGGGUGAUCGAUUUGAAGUGCAGGUAUGCCCGCCCCUUGCGGCCCCAUAGCCCGUUUAGAGACGCGCACAGCUCCGAGACUGUUCCGACCAGAGGCUCAGGGCCCGCCGCGUACACAGCGACACGCAGUUCCUCUAGCGCUAAGUCCGCAGAACUGAAGUUCGCAUCCAACAGCUCGCCGCUGGUGGGUCCGGUGGCGUUGACAUCGGGUGCGAUGCCGCCGGUCAUAGCAACCUGGUGCAACAGAGUCAACAGGUCGGGCCUGCCGUACUUGAUGUACGACGUGAGAGCCUUGGCGGGCGUGGGGAAGGAUGCCUUCUUAGGCGCGUCGUCGAGGCUGGUCCUAAUCGCGGUGCUAACGGCCUGGUCGUUAGACGACCGGAAGCUGCUUGCAGUAGUUCGAAACGAUGCCCAUGUGAUCGGUCGCGCAAGUCGCCUAUGCACGUGGGCGCAGGGGCAAAGGAUAAAGGUUGGGGGAUUCGAAAAUUAUGCACAUUCGACCCGUCAGAAGGACAACAAAUUGCUGCAAGUGCUGGUAUUCUAUCCAAGCAUGACACGAAUGCAAAUGAUUCAAUCCAAUCAACUCGUACAGCGGUUGAAAUCUAUAGAGCCUUAGUCAUCAUUAACUGCAAAAAGCGCCCCAACCUACCUCCACAAAUGCGCCCCCAGCAUAAGUACUGCAGGCGGUAAUGUCGAACCAAGGCCUAGCGCAGCGAAUUGCAUCAUGCCCACGAACGAAAAGUCAUUCCGUACGGUCACCGUACGAGACAGAUGGGCAUCGUACGCCUGCGAGCACAUCAGCCCUGCAAAACCGCCUGUGAAACUGAGCACCACAGCCGCCAUCCACAGCAGCGGGCUAAACAUGUACGGGUGAGACAGAGGCCUGCAUACGCGGAGGCGGCGUGAAGUGUGCGGGGGCAUGGUCGGGGUUGCGUUCGUUGCACGUUUUUAUAAAUGGAUAUGUCAUAAUAGCUGGUAGACAGGUCGGUUGUAAUAAUGCUUAUGUAAGUAGAUAAAGCGAGGGCAUCGGGGGCCCAUCGAAUUUUCACUAGGCAAUGCAGGAAGCCUUUCCUUACCCGACCUGCAGCGGGGAUAUUUUGCUUGUUGGAAACUUAAAAAUUCCUACUUUGACAGAGGGAACAAGCCCAAGGAAAAUGAAUAUUUACGGCGGUCGGCCUUUUAGAAAAAAAUCAAGCGGGGCAACUCAAAACCCAUGCGCCCCAGCUCUAUAUAUGCUUACCGAGCAGCAGUCGCCAAGCCACCGAAAGCAUCUUCAUCUCCCGACGGAAGCUUAGCCCCGGAAAGCCCCUCUCCGAUAGCUUGGGGCGUCAUGACAGAAUCAUUGCUGCUGCGGCUCCCAGAACCCGGCGGCGCGGUACCCUCUAGGGAGGCUUUUCCGUCGGCGGCGGCCUUGGCGGCGACAGUGGUGACUCCAGCGGCUUGUGAGUGCUUGCCAUCAGGCGCUGCGGUCGACGACGUCAGGUGCAGAUAGAGGUCCACACCGGAAGCAACCCUGGCGGAGUGAUGGCGAGUUAAGAGGCAGAUGUGUAGGUCAGGGCAGGGCACGGAAUCCGGAAUGUGGAGCUGUAAUGACAUGUUUAGACAAUAUUUGUAUUCUAAUCUUAUCUGUAUCACUAUUGCUUGGUAUCCAUUCAGAUCCCCACUGCACUCACCAUUUGGACGUGCAAUAAUGUGCGUGUGUGUUACACCUAGGCUGUCGUACCUAGAGCGGUGUAAUGAGACCGUACGAGCCAGAGGCCCAAGAGCUUAGAAGCCACAAGCUAGAGAAUACCAAUCUGAUACUAUGACAUCCUUGUAGAUAGGGUCUGGUAUUGUACUCGCCAGUGCGCUUAUCCAAGGGCGAGCCCUUCCGUUGGCCGUAGCUUAGAAGCUAAACAACUUGGCACUCACGAUAGAGCUAACCGAGCUACCCGAGAAAGGGCCAACCCGCCAACUUCUCCCUCAAAUCACUAACCCCUGAAUGAGCCGCGCACAAGCACAUACACAGCGGGCCCCGUCGCUUUUCCCCAGGACCGCAAACGCACCCGUCACUGGCAGCCUGCAGAAUCUCGUACGGCAGGGCACGCAGCUCGUCCAUGGUACGACUGACCCAGACCAGGAUGAUGCGAUCAGCAUUAGAUCCCUUCCCGGCGGGCUGUUGGCGACGGGCGGCGAGCAGCUCCAAAAUCAUCCCCAAAGCGGGAGUGAUCUGGGCGGCAGAGGAGAGCGGGGUUGGACAGGAAAGGGUCGGCAGGGACGAGGCUCGGAAAUGGGGUUGGCGUUGGUCAGGACGACAACAAUGAUCAUCCUAAAACCCUCAGUUUUACAGGUAUGGGGUCACGCACCCCCAACCAUGUAACACACACACACACACGCAGACAACAAACGAUCGAAUCUUAGGCUCCGAGCGGUAAUUUACAUUCCAGGACGUAGCAAAUCAACAGGCUCUGCGAAAGGCGUAUGACCCUCUUCUAGGCAUUUCUAACGGAACCGAAAGGCCUUCCGUACACGGUCGCCGAGUCUGUAUCUAAUUCGCAGGUGCUAUCCGCGAUCCCAUCCAAUCCUUUUCCAUCAGGCAGGUAAUCAAUCAUGCAUUUCAAAGGUUAGCUUACCCCAACGCCACCCGCCACGAAGACGUGUGUGUCAAACUUCUUCAUCCACUUGCGAUUGCUAUUGUCGUACGGUCCACUGACGUACAGAGCAAGGGGAUCGCUUGACACUCGCGAAAUGAGGGCCUGAGGGGUAUACGAGGGGAUAGAGCAGCGAAUUGUAAAAAAGGAGAGGAAAGCAAGUAAACCGAAACGCAACUCACGCGUCGAAUACCGGUCGUGGAGUUGUUUCGUCUGCAAGCAUGCUACAUAAACGCCCUGUCCUGUACAUGUACGGCCUACCUUCGUCCAGCGGUUGUACUUCUUGAUCUUGAGCUCCAUGAUGUUGGCGGCGGAGGGCUCGGAGGCGAUGGUGAAGGGGUGCCACUGGAACCAGCUAACAGCGGGCACGUUCAGGAACACGGUGUCACCGCCCACCCAGUGGAUAGACUGCGAGGAAAAUAAACAUGAUGGGUGGGCCGAAUUACACCCGUUGUAUAUGGAUUUCAUAAGCCUACAAACAACCACCAAAAAGGUCAGAUGAUUCACGAAAAUGACUUUAAAGUCUGCAAAUUUGCAGCGGCGUCGGCCACAGCGGCCGACACGACCGCCUGGGAGGUAUUUCAUUGAUAAAGCAGAGCAUUAGACACCUUCCGUAAGCCCCUUCCCCCUCCACACCAUCCACACACAAGCGGCCCUAAGCACCUCGUGGCAGCGGAUGCUGAGUGAUAGCAGCUCCCCGCCGUUUGGAGAAGACAGUCGGGCGACUGCCGCACAAGUAGAAGAGAAAGGGAAGUUGACCUCGGCCCCCGUAGCCGCCGGCGCUAUCUUCAUCUUCACACCGUUGAAGUUCUGCUGCAGGGUGCGGAGUACCACGUCGACAAGGUACAGAAAGAUGCCUGCGUGCAUGCGCACAUGUAGAAGAACAGAGGAGAUAAGGGAGAGGGCGAUGGCGCAAACAUGGGAGGGUAGCGCAUCCAUGCUUGGUGUGCUUUUGCGCGUUUCUACGAUCGUGCUGUUUGUGCGUCUUCGUCCUGUGUGGCGAAUGUCUUCGCACGUGUCAUGCAUCCAGAUGAUAAGCCCGGGUUGCAGGCUGCGGGCCGGGGUUCCAGCGCGAUGAUGAUGAUGAUGAUGAUGAUGAUGAUGAUGAUGAUGAUGAUGAUGAUGAUGAUGAUGAUGAUGAUGAUGAUGAUGAUGAUGAUGAUGAUGAUGAUGAUGAUGAUGAUGAUGAUGAUGAUGAUGAUGAUGAUGAUGAUGAUGAUGAUGAUGAUGAUGAUGAUGAUGAUGAUGAUGAUGAUGAUGAUGAUGAUGAUGAUGAUGAUGAUGAUGAUGAUGAUGAUGAUGAUGAUGAUGAUGAUGAUGAUGAUGAUGAUGAUGAUGAUGAUGAUGAUGUNNNNNNNNNNNNNNNNNNNNNNNNNNNNNNNNNNNNNNNNNNNNNNNNNNUUACAGUUAUUAACUUUGGAUCUAUGGUACGAUGAGGGGAACGUUCCGCAAUUUGUAAAAGGAACGCUAGCUAGGGUUCUAUAUCACCUGGCAUGACCCAGGUAGCGACGUCCUUCCGGUGCAUGAACCCGAACAGCAGGAACAUGGUCGCGCCCAAGAUGUGGCAGCUGUAAAAGAGGCUGUAGAAGCGGCGCCGGACGAAACUCAAGCUGGUUAAACACAACAGCCAGCCGCCACACAUGGCCACAAGGCCGGAGAGCCGGUUGACGCCCGCACCCAUGUUCCAGUCAAGCAUGGUCGACAAACUGCGGGCGGGAGCGUUCAAGGCAUGUAGGAUGCGAAAGCGAGGGGGUUAGGGAGAGAACCUAUAUGUACGUCUCUCAACUUAGGGACAUAUUAUGUCGCAGCGGACAACAAUAGAGCACACUGUUGGAGUUGGCGCAAGCAGACGAAAACGUCCACACAGUAGCGACACAACACGAUGGGCAGGGCAGAAUUAGCGGAUUUUCGUGGUUUGACUGAAUCCUGUUGGGAGUACAAAAUUGUUCAGGAUCGCCAGUCCACAACAAAAAAGGUAGUAAUGAGGCCGAAAAGGACAAACAAUUCUAAGCACAACGAGAGGUGAGUUUUUUUGAAAACAAAUCAGCGUCAAUUUUCAACAAACAGGUGAUGAGUAGAGGCGGUUCAAACGAAUGCAUCGUGGCGAGUCUUGGGCAGGCGCAGCUGGCUCACUUAAACCUUCAGCGGGAAGGCAGGUAAUAGCACGUAGUUUCCAACCAUGGCAUAAUGCAAUCCCUUUGAUAUGGAUUGGUGCAACGGUUCGUUUUUCACCGUCAUCAGUGACUCACACGCCACUGUGCGCCCAGAUGCUCAGAUAGGUGAUUCCAUGGAGGGAGUAUACCAGCAGAGUGCCUUGGCCCAGCCACCUGUAGGGAAUGCAGCAGCGAACGGCGGGCGGAAGGACGAUGACAUACGUGCGAUCUAUGUACUUCUUGCGCGUGUAAGUUGCACGAACGUGUGCACAGGUGACUUCUAUCCCUUUACUCGUGGGGUAGCGGACUACGCACACAACAUCAAAAACCAACAGAAGCGCACUCCUGCGCCACUGACAGGCAACUCUGUGGGUGAUCUCAUCUGCUCGCUUCGCUUUGUGGACAUGAACACCUAUCUUUCCCAGCCGACGGUGAUGCUAAUGAUGUCCAUCAGUCGUUUUGGUGGACCCACCACUGUCCCUCCCACCUGUGGUACUUGACCAUUGAGGCGAAAUCGGAUCCCAGCAGCCAGUGCAGAAAAUUGCAGCGGGGUAGUGGGAAGAACAGCAGCAGAAUGUCCAGACGCCCGACCCAGCCAGAGUACUUGGCAACGCUGUGGGAAGGAAGCAGACACAUACAAAAUAUGUGACACGGGCUUGUGGGCAAGAUGGGUUUCCAGGAAAUUAUUCAUCAGCGAAGCAUUGCGGAAAAGAAGAGGUUAAUUAAUAUCCACGCUCCACCGCCCUCACCUGUCUUGAACAACUUCUGGAAGGGGCUUGAGCUUCUUAGCAGCUGGCGGCGGGGACAGCGCUUUGGCCGGUGUCGAUGAAGACGAUCCGGGCUUGGCACCAGUGCUAGUUGAGUUGCCCGCGGGGCUGCUGCUGCUGCUGUUGCUAGGCGGGGGAGAGGAGGUCUGCAUCAACCGACGUAAGGAUCCGCGAACCUCUAUGCUUGAAUUGGCGUUGGAGGUGGUGGUGGUGGAGGGCGGCGGUGGCGGUGGUGUAGCUGUUGUCGAGGGCAUGGCCGCUGAUAGGCGGCUGGUGUUGGUAAUGGAAGUUGACAGCGACGGCGAGGAUGAUGGCUUGCUGGACAGCGGCGGGCUCCGUAUGACCGCUGCGGUUGGAACCAAGUCUUAGUUAAAAGGAUGUAUUGCAGUUGUCUGAAUGACGGUUAGUGGGACGUUUAUAAUGAAAUAAGACAACUCAAUACCAUCAUGUAGCAAUUCAGUUGAUGAGGAGGCCCGGCCCCGAGCAUGCAACAAUUAGUUAAUGGCGGUGCCUGCAUCCUCUGGCCGUGGCAUGGAGACUUCUCCACCCCAGUUGACAAUAACUGACAUGACUGAUAACUGACAUGAUAACUGACAACCAGUAACCAACAAUUGCAACGGCAUGGCGUCGUCACCCAUCGAAAACCGCCAAGUCACCGACGAAGGAUGCCCUGCAGGAACUUCCCCUCCUAUCAGCCAGUCCGCACCUUUUGGUGGCGGUGGGGCCGCACGCCUGCUGUCUAGUACACGCAUCGUCAUCUCGCGCAACCAGAGGAUAUGCAGGCCCAGCCACAGCAGCACCAGCAGCAAGUCCAAAACAGACAGCCCCUCGGGACCCCGGAUGGACCGCCACAAGCCGCGAGGGGGGACCUGAUAGCGCAGCAGCCGCCGGACGCGAAUGACGGCCUGCGAGAUCAAAGCAUCGAUGAUCGGAUGAUGAUCUAUGUAACCAGCCCAUGUCAGCGGUGCAUGUAUACGUAGAGGCAUGGCUGUAAGUUAUUAUUGUCGCAGUUCGUUUGGACACGAAGUUCUAGAACAGAAGGCGAGUCCAUGGAUUGUAGGAAGUACAGAGGUGACGAAAGUUCCUCUCGACUAUGACCACCUUCCCACCAGAAUUCAAAAAUGCAAGCAGGGGUGUUGAGUUAUGAGGGCAGCGGAUCACUUGAGCUGGAUAUGUAUCUCUUACCUUUCUCGCAGCAGCACCAACAGACCAGGAUAGACCGCUAGCGCUCUUUUUGACUGGUUUCGGCGGGUGCGACAUGGAGGCUUUGUUGGCGGCAGCAGUAAUGGAAGACAGCCACAGCAGGCCAGCUGAACCGAGCGCCACUGCCAGCGUGCCGCACCACUGCCAUAUCAACUGCGAUGGCCAAUGAAGGGAUGGGGCCCCGUUGAGAACUUGGAGACGCAAAGCAACAAGAUAAGCAAGCUGGCUUGCUGCGCCAAUAUGUCCGGUAUGUCUGAGAUUCUCUCCCCUGGUCUCAAUGUCUCAGUGCCCAGAAUAAAAGCAAAGUGCUGAGAAUAAAGCAAAGUAUGAAUCCUGUGUCAAUUUUGCAGAGUAUACCUCGGUUUGAUAGAUGGAUUCAUACAGCCAGCCUAGUGGGACACGGAUUGGGGAAUGCGAAUGGUUGGGAGGUGCUGUGUGAUGUACGCUGGGUGUGAUGCGCUUACCAAGAAGCUGUAGCCACCGGAUAGCAGCGGCGUUGCCCUCCCAGUUGUUGCGUUGGCAAAAUUGUACUGUAGUAUCAAUGUGUUGCGCCAGGUGAUCAACUCAGUCGCGCGAACCUGAUACCACCGAGUUGGAGUCGUUGUGUAGAAGAAACCGAAUGAGAUCGCGCCGCCGGCGACGAUUAGCCAGAGAAGCGCGCAAGCGGCGGUGAAAAGCAUGCGACGGAGCAUGGCUGUUAAAUCUGAACGUGGCAAAUCAGCCAUCGCAUGAAAAGCUGGCAAAAUUCUUGGUCAACAGAAACUGGGCUUCGCUCAAUCGUGCGGACUCGGAAUAGUAGGGCUGACGACAAGUUGUAGGGUGACCUCGAGCACCGUUGUCGGACGGCGUUUUCGAAGAAACACGAUGCUUGUGAAACGAGCCGAAAGAAACUGAAAAUAUUAAGCUUAAGGAAAUUGAAACUAAUUUUAUAGUAUGCUGGUUCCCGCUUUAAAUAGAUAGGUCGGCGUUGUGAACGCCAGGCGUGCGGUUGGCGUGUGAUGGCGUGUGUCAAUAUUCAGUCGUUUUAUCUUUAUCGUAUGUAUUUCCCAUGUUUUUCCAUAUUAAUGAAAAAAUGUUUUUCUUAAUUCUACAGGGAGCAAGAGUACUUCUAUGGGUACCAUUGACUGUGUCACUUUUUCGGUUUGACAUUGCAACCUGCCCGGUGGUCUCCAAUGAACUUCAUAAGCGCAAGUAACUGUCUAGAAUCAUGAUUACCAAGCAUAAUUCAGGAUAAAUGUGGUUUAGAUCGCGUCAGACGGUGAUACUUCUACCCAUUAGUCAUGUAUAGUGGGACCGGUCACCUGCUGAAUCCGAUAAAGUAAUGCGGAAGCCCUCUCGCCGUGAUUUGGCAAACAACAGCUCCAAGUAAGUUUUCAUCAUAAAACUUGUAUAUAUAUAUAUAUAUAUAUACAAGUUCCACCACCGUCCCACAUAUCCACCAACGCGACGCGUACCUUACCCUGUCUGACUUGCUGUGAGCAUACUUGCCCUUCCCUGCCGAGCCAUGCGCGUGAGAAUCUGUGGUAAUUAGCUAGAGGAGCAUUCCUGUUGGUGAUGAAUACGGCGUAGUGCUAACAACAGCUGCAAAAUGCAUCGACAUUGACUCAUACGUACACAGAACAUUUGUGUGUAACUUCUAUCAGAAAUGAAAUGAAUUCUCUUCUACAAGAUUGCUGUUAUUGCGGCUACCCCUGUCCGACAGCUGUUGUGCUGCUGUAAUUAUCUACCGCUGCAUUCAACUAUGGUGUCCGUGUUUGUCGGAAUGCGAGCUUUAUUGACUCAUUCGCUUCACGACUGUAAGCUUUAUUGACUCAUUCGCUUCACGACUGUAAUGCUAGGGGUUGAGCAAAUCAGGUUUCAGCUGCAUCAAAGCUGCAAAUGUGCGUGCGCUGCCGCGAGCAGCACAAAUCCUUCAUAAUUCCCCUUACGAUCCGUUAGAUUGGCAUUAGCAAUCCCUCACGGCGACGGUGUGAUUGCUGGCAAUUGCAUCCAAUGAAUCCAGCAAAUUCGCAUGCAUGGCCAUUCCCAGCCUCCCACUCUGUAACAACAACAGCAUGCGUGGCCAUUCACCUUAGCCUGGCAGUUGUGUGUGUGUGUUACAUGGUUGGUGGGUGCGUGACCCCAUACCUGUAAGACUACCCAUACGAGCCGAAGGCCCAAGGGCAAUACUACAACGCCUAAAAGCCACGGGGAAAAGGAAAAACACCGCACAUCAGCCCAGAUUAGCGUCCAAAGGGGGUAAUUGACUUUCAGUGAGCCCACAUACGUUCCAACAUCCUCGCCAGACGUGCUGGUUCCCAUUUCAUGGCCUCCAACAUGCUCUGUUGAUGAUCGAAUCCCUCUUCAGCACGAAUAUCAUUACAGGCUGGGCAUUCCAAUAACACGUGUUUUUCAUCCUCAAUUCGGCUAUUAGUACCACAACAGUGGCAAAACCGCUGCCCCCUGGGGACAUGGUACUUGCCCCUUCGUGCUCUGUUUGCCUCCAAAGCCCAGCAACAUAAACCAAACUGCAUUAGCUUACGAUGUACUAAACGAGGAAUGAAAACCUUAGCAUGUGUUGGCCACAUGACGGCUGCGGCUCCCGAAAAGGGCAGCCCCAUCCAGUGCUUAUACUUCGCCAUUUGCACUCCCGGUUGCUUCCCAUCUGAUGGGUACUCCUCUGGCAAGACAGUCAGACGCGUAUGGUCCCAGCCACUCAUCAAACGCUCUCUUAGUGCCGUUAUUAUCGCUCCUUCGGGUAGAGGCCUACUCAACAACCAGUCAACACGCUCCUUUACCCCCACGACUUCUUGCGGUAUUCCGCUCCAAAUGUUGCACUCCAAGAAGGAAAACAGUCGUAACAUUGAGGUUACCCAACCCUCCCAUUCCGGGUUGGUCAGGGCAUCGGUUAUCUCCUGCCGUAAAACGGCAUGAGCAAUGGAUCCCACUUGCAUUUGAAGGCGGUUCCAGAAACGGAGAAUCUGCUUCACCCAGUGUUUUUUUUAGUAUUAUAUUCCUUUUAAGGGAUAAAGAGGCCAUUUUGGCCUUUGGAAAAAAGGAAUGAAUUGAGGCCGAUCCGUACAUUUUCAUUCCUCCAGCCAAAAACGUCCAUUGCUGCCAGAUUGCUCCGUAGUGUGCUGAACUUAGUAUUAUCGAUCAUAGAAUAGAUAUGAGGGGCCGUAAGAAGGUCAAGCCCGUGAGUCAACGCGGCAUAGCAGAAUGUAUGACCGGUCCUUACAUAGCCAAACACGCAAAAGGCAACGACUUGAACGCCGAACAAACACCAAAACAGCAAGAUAAGCCUGAAAUUUUUCCUGAUAAAGGCGUUUGGGACGGCGGUGCUGUUGUCGGUAAUGCAUCGGCAAUGGUGUUGCUGCCAGCGGCGACCGAUGACACGGGCGCCAUUACCCCUGCCUUCCAUGGCGGUUGUGAUCAGCAUAAGCGCAAGCUGUCACCCAAUCAGCUCGACAACAACGAAUGCGGCGAGGCGCCCAACCCGAGCGCUCGCAGUGCCAAGCGGGCUCAGACACAGCGCAUCCGCAAGGGCAUGAGCGACAGUGCAUUGCGGGACAAGCAGAAAGAAAAUGCCCACAGAUGGCAGAUUGCCUGGGCCGCCAGGUAUCCCUGGGCCCAGCCUGUGCAUGCUGACGUGGACGCCGGAGAAGUGCACGACCAAGGAUUUACUUUUUGUUCACAAACAGUGCCAGAACUAUCUAUGCAUGUGCAUGAAGAGUGCGCACAUGAACGAAAACGCGCCAACGCAGUGCGUGCCUCUUGGUCUAUGAGGGGAGUUGUAACUUAUGGGGGGGGGGUCGGGCUACGCCCCCCCCCCCCAGCGCCCCNCACUUAAGGAAUACAUUACGGCGACGCUAGCAACUUUGUUACUUAGGUCGGAAUAAAUUGAGACCCCCCCUAAAUGAAAAAAAAAUCACUGGCUUCACCAUGUAAUAUUGUAAGGGGAGUUCAGCCAGCUCCGCGUACAACAGCCUGUGGGAUGGCCGUGCCGUCCCCACUACCUGCCUCAUGAAUAAAAUCUGCAGCUGGACUGCACUAUCCUUCAAACAGGCUUCGAACAUGCCCUCCGCAAGGUUGGCAUUAUCCCGCCGCCUUCCCGCCCUGUCCACGACCUCUGCCAGCGCAAAAGGGCCCCACGCCUGGCAGCCAUACAACAGAAUUGCUCGGACUUGGGUUGCAAAACACCGCAUUCGCACAUCGGGGGCAAACAGCUUCAUUUUGUCCAGCUUUGCGCUUAAGGAAAACAUAGCGGACCGACCUGUAUCACACAACUGCUGACGGCACGCACUAAAAGGCCGUUCUGGCCCAUAUACCAGGCCCAGAUAGCGAGCGCUAUCUUUGGCAGGUACUACCUGGCCUGAUAGCCGUAACUGUUGACAUCUCCCGCUAAGUUCCGACUGCUGGGUGCCGUCACAUGCAAAAACAAGCCUUUCACACUUUGAGACAUUUGGUCGCAUCCCAAAAGCUUCACAAAACAAGUCCACAAGAUGUAGCAACUCAGACAUUCGCUCUAGUGACGUCGCUAGCAGACUAACAUCGUCUGCAUACAACAGUAUGGAGACGCGCUUGCUUUCCACAAGGGGUGCGUCAUACUUACGUGCACCAGCUUCUACAAGGUCAUGAGUAUCAAUCAGAUCGGCUAGUGUCUCGAUGAAGAGUCCAAACAACUCCGUAGAUAAAGGACACCCUUGCUUCACUCCUUGCUUAGACUCAAACUCUCCCCCCACUUUCUCAUUUACCUUCAUCACCAGCCUGGCAGUUGUGACACAGGCACACACCACACACAGGCACGUAGACAAUCAGGUACGCUGAAACGGAUUCACGCUGGCAGAGGUCAAUCUGGGGGGGGAAAGAGCUUGAUCGUUCGCCGGCUGAGCUUUGACCCUCGUUUCGAGUGCAAGUCAAUUUGCAUUCCGAUGGGUGCAGUCACCUGAGCCGCGCCAUAACACCCAGCCGUGAACUUGGCAUGCAGACGAGCAGUGACCUGUGCCACAAUGCAACAACCUCGCUUAAUUGACAUAGCGGCACGAUUUGGAGUGAAUUUGCCGUGAUGAUAGCCGUUUGUUGUGGCCAAGGUGGAUGUUUUAAGGUUUUCAUCAUCAAAUCACGCUAACUGUGCUCGAGGCAAGGGCAUGAUGAAGACCCGGGCAAGCGGCGCCAAAGGAUUCUUCCCGCUAAAGUUGAUUGGCUUUUAGGCGUAUAGAUAUUGCCUUGGGCCUUCGGUUCGUAUGGGUAGUUUUACAGGUAUGGAGUCACGCACCCGCAACCAUGUAACACAUACACAGAUCGGCACGAAGGGCCCGGCAACCCAACCCCCCAGGUAUAUGAGUGUUGGUCACUCUCCAGCAAUCCCCUCCCAUAAAGACAGUUGGUUGGAAGCAUACGCGUCUAGAUGUCCAGCCAGACGUGUACCCGUCAGACGACAAGUAGCCAGGAAUUCACAUGGCGAAGUAUAAGCAUUGGAUGGGUCUAGCGGCCGAACAAGUGGGCAGGAGGGAGGUACUCCCGCAUGUCACAACGUUUAUCCCACGUUCAGCGAAUCGCAAGCUUUAGGCUUUGCUGUUGGGCAUUGGCGCCGAACAGUGCAGACAACGGACGGCGUUAUAUGCCUAGGGAGGAGCGAGCAUGCCCCUGCUGCGGCACUGAUAGACAAAUCGAAGAUGAGAAGCACGUUUUGCUGGACUGUCCGGUGUACGGCAAAAUCAGAUCUGGUAUGGAUUUUCCACGCUUCGAGCAUAUGUGUGUGUAUGUUUCAUGGUUGGGGGUGCGUGACCCCAUACCUGUAAAACUACCCAUACGAGCCGAAGGCCCAAGGGCAAUACUUCAACGCCUAAAAGCCACGGAGAAAAGGAAACACCGCACAUCAGCCCAGACUAGCGCCCAAAGGAGGUAACUGAGUUUCGGUGAGCCCACAUACGUUCCAACAUCCUCGCAUGACGUGCGGGUUCCCAUUGCAUGGCCUCCAACAUGCUCUGUUGAUGAUCGAAUCCCUCUUCAGCACGAAUAUCAUUAUAGGCUGGGCAUUCCAAUAACACGUGUUUUUCAUCCUCGAUUCGGCUAUUAGUACCACAACAUCGGCAAAACCGCUGCCUCCUGGGGACAUGGUACUUGCCCCUUCGCGCUCUGUUUGCCUCCAAAGCCCAGCAACAUAAACGAAACUGCACUAGCUUACGAUGUGCUAAACGAGGAAUGGAAAUCUUAGCAUGUAUUGGCCACAUGACGGCUGCGGCUCCCGAAAAGGGCAGCCCCAUCCAGUGCUUAUACUUCGCCAUUUGCACUCCCGGUUGCUUCCCAUCUGAUGGGUAUUCCUCUGGCAAGACAGUCAGACGCGUAUGGUCCCAGCCGCUCAUCAAACGCUCUCUUAGUGCCGUUAUCAUCGCUCCUUCGGGUAGAGGCCUACUCAACAACCAGUCAACACGUUCCUUUACCCCCAUGACUUCUUGCGGUAUUCCGCUCCAAAUGUUGCACCCCAAGAAGGAAAACAGUCGUAACAUUGAGGUUACCCAACCCUCCCAUUCCGGGUUGGUCAGAGCAUCGGUUAUCUCCUGCCGUAAAACUGCAUGAGCAAUGGACCCCACUUGCAUUCGAAGGCGGUUCCAGAAACGGAGGAUCUGUUUCACCAUGUAAUACUGUAAGGGGAGUUCAGCCAGCUCCGCAUACAACAGCAGGCGGCAGGCAGGCGGCUGGCAGGCGGCAUAGGCAGGCAGGCGGCUGGCAGGCGGCAUAGGCAGGCGGCUGGCAGGCGGCAUAGGCAGGCGGCUGGCAGGCGGCAUAGGCAGGCUGGCGGCUGGCAGGCGGCAUAGGCAGGCAGGCGGCAUAGGCAGGCGGCUGGCAGGCGGCAUAGGCAGGCGGCUGGCAGGCGGCAUAGGCAGGCAGGCGGCAGGCAGGCGGCAUAGCCAGGCAGGCGGCUGGCAGGCGGCAUAGGCAGGCGGCAUAGGCAGGCGGCUGGCAGGCGGCAUAGACAGGCGGCUGGCAGAGGUUAAGGCCUGACUUCUGCUCCAGGAGUGUCCGAGUUCAAAUCUGCCUGCCAAUUCCUCAGGUGAUUGAGGAGUGUUAAAAUGGGAGGUGGCUCCCCAUCUCAUGGACGGUGUAGGACGUGAUAAUAUCAACUUGCGAGCUGACCAGGAACUAAGUUGAUGCGCCGUUGAUCCGCAAGAUUUGGUUGGAUGCUGGUGGUGAGUUGCCGAACCCAACAAAUACAUCCUGAAGUAGGAUGGGGUGACGGAUUAGGGUGCCCCUCUAGCAGGGGAGAGUAGGGACUGCCCCGGGAAAGGGGGCCGCUGGCGAAGUUAACCACCCUGUAACAACAUACAUACAACAGCCUAUGGGAUGGCCGUGCCGCCCCCACUGACUAAUUUGAGGCGCCGUUGAUCCGCUAGAUUUGGUUGGAUGCUGGUGGUGAGUUGCUGAACCCAACGAAUACGUUCUGAAGUAGGAUGGGGUGAACGGAUUAGGGUGCCCCUCUGGCAGGGGAGAGCAGGGAACUGCCUCGGGAAAGGGGGCCGCUGGCGAAGUUAACCACCCUGUAACAACAUACAUAUAACAGCCUAGGCAGGCGGCUGGCAGAGGUUAAGGCCUGACUUCUGCCCCCGGCCGACCCGGGUUCAAAUCUGCCUGCCAAUUCCUCAGGUGAUUGAGGAGUGUCAAAUUGGGAGGUGGGGCCCCAUCUCAUGGACGAUGUAGGCCGUGAUAAAAUCAACUUGCGAGCUGACCAGGAACUAAGUUGAUGCGCCGUUGAUCCGCAAGAUUUGGUUGGAUGCUGGUGGUGAGUUGCCGAACCCAACAAAUACAUCCUGAAGUAGGAUGGGGUGACGGAUUAGGGUGCCCCUCUAGCAGGGGAGAGCAGGGACUGCCCCGGGAAAGGGGGCCGCUGGCGAAGUUAACCACCCUGUAACAACAUACAUACAACAGCCUAUGGGAUGGCCGUGCCGCCCCCACUACCUGCCUCAUGAAUAAAAUCUGCAGCUCGACUGCGCUGUCCUUCAAACAGGCUUAGAACAUGCCCUCUGUAAGGUUGGCUUUAUCCCGCCGCCUUCCCGCCCUGUCCCCAGCGCAAAAGGGCCCCACGCCUGGCAGCCAUACAACAAGAAUUGCUCGGACUUAAGUUGCAAAGCACCGCAUUUGCACGUCGGGGGCAAACAGCUUAAUUUUGUCCAGCUUUGCGCUUAAGGAAAACAUAGGGGACCGACCUGUAUCACAUAACUGCUGACGGCACGCACUAAAAGGCCGUUCUGGCCCGUAUACCAGGCCCAGAUAGCGAGCGCUAUCUUUGGCAGGUAUUACCUGGCCUGAAAGCCGUAACUGCUGACAUCUCUUGCUAAGUUCCGACUGCUGGGUGCCAUCACAUGCAAAAACAAGCCUUUCACACUUUUUAGACAUUUAAAGCAUAUGAAGGACGAUAUGAAGUGGGAACCUGAACGUCUGGCAACGAUGCUGGAACGUAUGUGGUCCCACCGCAACUCUAUCGGUCCCUUUGGUCGUUGGUAUCCUUUACCACUUGCUUGUCUGCAGUGCGAGGUAGGACGGUGCUUAUAGGCGAUCUUGCAGCCCUUGAUCCCUCGGCUCGUAUUGGGGUGGUUGCAGAUACGGGGAACGCACCCCACGACCAUGCAGCGCACACACACAAAAAAAUACAGUCGAACAGAGACUACAAAAAUCAUAUGUUGGAAAUACCAGCGUUUGGUGGCUGUUAAGUGCGUGUGCUUUUUGCAACCGCAGCCACCACAGCAGUCGGGGUGCGUGCAGGCAAGAAGGUGGCCAACAGGGUUCGACACUGAACUUCCUGAAACUUGCGGGCUCCCCCGUACCUCCCAAAUUUUCCUUACGGAGGGGCCCCCGUACCAGGCUCCUGUACCGGCCGAAAACCUUAUGGGGGCCCCCGUAACCCCCGCAAAACCUUUACGGGGGCACUGUCCUUGGCUGAAACGCUGUGGAAAGUGACGCUUUGCAAUUUUUUGCCCUGUAAAUCGUUAUUUUCUCGUGAACCAUUACACUCAGUGACACGGCACACUCAGCGAAAGCCAAGCGCCUUGGCCGCCGCGGCCGCCCAUCCCUUCUGCUCCAUUUUCUCGUCCUCCUAAUCCUCAUCAUCAUCAAAAUCCUCAAACACGCACGACUCAUCGGUAUCUCGUUCUACGUCGGCCUCGUAGUCACUGUCACUAAAAGCCUCAUCGUCACUAGCGGGGUAUGUUGCUUGUACCAGUAAUUCAAUCUCUGGGUCAGUCGCAACCUCCUCAUUAUCAUCCUCUCCGUAUGGAUUCAAAUUAAUUUUGCUAACGUCAAAAAGGCUUAUCAUCUACUUUCUUUGUGGGAACAGGUUGGCUUGCAGGCUUUCCAUCCUUUAUAUGGUCCGUCCUCUCCCCUACAGGGCCCCGUACGGCCUCUUAUAAAUCCUUAAAAUCCUUACGGGAGCCACUGUAACCGGCCUUCGGCCGGUCCGGGGCCGGCCCCGUACGGGGCGCUUCGCGCCCCAAAAUCCUUACGGGAGCCACCGAAAAGUCCUACGGGCCCUGACGGGGAUACCGAAAAAAGGCCAAAAACUUACGGGCCCCGUACGGGGUGUCGAACCCUGGUGGCCAACCAAGGCGAGCGAGCGAGGCGGCCUCAGGGGCCCCUUCGUGCCGCGGGGAUCCGCAACCUGAAAGGUGAUCACAGCUCAAGGCUCUAGCUUCUUCCCACCACCUUCCUUGAACGCGGGUGUGAAAGCUGGCGGGGUUAUAGGCACUGGAAAAGCUGCGUCGUCGGCCUAUCAGAAGACGAAUGACAAUGCGUUUAUACGCACAUGUAAACGCACAACAGUGGCGCCCGUUGGGACAAGGCCGAUGAACAAAUAUGAUUCUGUGAGGUAGGAGGGUAUAGCUUCACCCGUGCCAUCAGCCUGGCAGUCCCUAGCUGCCUCCCCCCCGCGGUGUACUCGGAGCACCAACCUCAUCCUUCUCGCCCAUUUCGAUUUUUGCGAAGUCAGUGAUUUUUCUGGGUUCAGCACCCACCACCACCACCACCACCACCAUCACCAUCACCACCACCACCACCACCACCACCAGCAUCCAGCAUCCAUCUGCCAGCGGCGGCGUCAACUCCCCACUACUAGUGGUCCACUCGCCGGUCUGUAUAACCGGUUCCAUCACCGCCCAUCAACGUGAGCGUGCAUCCAACAGAUGGACCUUCUAAUGAUUGAUAGGUAUCCUGUGUUUAUGAUGAUCUCGAUCCUGGAACCUUCCAUCAACGCUAUGCCGCACGACAGCAUGUCCGCUGUGUGUGGAGCCGCAAUCUCUGAUGGCACUGACGAUAUACGAUAAUCCUACGGCAGUGGGACGUUUAGAACACUGCAUUGCCAGCGUGGCCCAUUGUGGGUGAUUGGGCUUUAACUUUAACCUUAAACUUUAACUUUAAACUGACAAGAUCGGACAUGCAUGGCCCACUGGCGAGUUGGUCUGGACGGCACUGAUGAGGGCAUCCAGUCUUUAGAGGUCCCGCUCGUUGUGAUGAUUAUUACCGUGAUGUGAGGAUGUGCUACGGAUACAACGGAAUCGCGCUACAUUACUUGCUUUGGACUACGUUAGCGUCGCCAAUGCACUGCAGGCGAGGCUCCACGUGCGAGCUGUGAAGCGCAUGUACGGCCGCUGCCGUGCGGCUGCCAAACGAGUGGGGGGCACCUCUAAACCAACGCUUUCCCCGUCAUUCGUUGCCUCCUGACCACCGUAACAUUUCUUCCUUGGUGCUCCUGCGCACAGAUGAGCGAUGCCGAAGCAUAUGUGUCAUGAUGCAGUUGUGAGCUUCGUGCGGCUUCCUAACCACGCAGCUCCCAUCCUAUCUCUGUGUAUGCUCGGAUGGGAGAAGCCGCAGUAGUUCCCAAGAGGUUUUCUUUGUUUAGACCUGAACAUCUACACAAGUUGAACAUAUCCACCGGAAGAAGUUUAAGCUCGGGAGAUGUCUUCAAUACACACGACAAUUACACAUUUCUAAUGGUCCUGCGGCGAAUGUAGCGAUAUCCACUGUUGCCCAAGGCCGUCCGCCAAUGGCGUGCGGAUCGUGCCUGCCCAAGUAAGCACUCAGAGAUAUUGAAAGCAGCACUGAGAAUUCCGAUAAAAGAAUCAAAUCAUAUUACUUUUAACACAUAGACGGCUCAGAGUGAAGUAAACUUGCACCUUAUGGAGCUAUGGUCGGUACUAGUACUCGAAACGUUAUCGCCGACAACGAACACAAACUCUUUUAUGCCACCAUAGCACUAUCCUCAUGAUCAAAUUUCCCUCACCACAAUUCUGUAAACGAAUAAACCAUUUUCCAUUACAUCAAGGUGCCGCUGGCACAGGUAGUUGUUUUGCACCUACUGCUGCUGUCGGAACGCCACAUCCAAAUCCCACAUAUUUCUCCUCUGUAAACUCUAUGAAAGAAAGCAUGCUUUGCCUUCACUUCGACCGACUAUUAAGAAGGACAGUUGGGAAUUGCUACCUUGCUACUCAAUUGUUAACUUGGCAGCGGUCUAGACCUGGGAGCGGUUUCAGAGUUCCAUGGGUAGCUUAAGUUGAGGAACAAGGCUUGUGCUCUGAGGCUUUUGCCGUACAACCUAUGUCUAACACUUCUUACGCACUGCUUUGGCAUUGCUCAGUUAACAGUUGUUACCGUAUCCCAUAGCCUACGUGAUAAAUGUUUUGUCUUUUAGCCUUGUUACAGGAGUUCGAGCUCGCUGUAAUGUAUUUGCAGCUCCCUUAAGCCUUACCAUUACCUGCAGUUGCCGGUCUCCAUAGCAUUAGGUCUUGAUGUGAUAUGAAUAGGAGGGAAUGUCAAGCUUGCUUUUUAGCCAAUGCCACUCGCUAUCGGCUGGCCGUGGAAGGAUUGCAUUCCCUGGUAAACCACUAGUACCGACAAUAUGAUAGCUUUGUACUAAUGAGGCGUGGAGUACCGCGCGGCGUUCGGGCUCGAGCUGGCUUGCGGGUCUUCCUUCUUGCCGCACUUCUCACCUGUUGUGCUGCUGAGCACACGCCAUGUGUCGACUUCCUGCUGUUCAACUCAAGAAACAGGUUUGUAGAAUACUUGUUACUCAUGCGCAAAAGGGAAAGGCCAAAGUUUCCAAACGGAAGUACCGGUAUAACAUUUCACUGUGGCAGCUAACUUAGUUCUUUCGUUCUCAAUUUCGUGCCGUUAGCAUGAUUGCGAUCCUUGUUCUCUCGGCUGUGCGUCGGUCGACUAUCCACUCCAUUUGACUGCUUCUCUCUUUUUGGUUUCUCACAUGCAAUAACUAACAAUUUGUACACUUUAUAGGACAAUAUGUAACGACUGUCAGGGCCUCUGUCAUUUAAGGGGGCACUGAACGGUCCCUGCAUGAAUGCUUGCAGUUGCACAGCAGCACCUAACAGCACACUAUACAGAGACGCUAUUCGGCAAUACGUGGACUGCAACCAGCUGGAUAAUGCGACCCAGGUUGGUAUGCCAUCCAAGGGGAACCAGCUAGGUUUGCAUCUACAUGCCCGCACCGCAACUUUGUUUGUUUCAGGCUUCGGGAUUCAAUCAUCUGCCAUUAGUACUGCCCAGCUGCUGCUUACCUACCCGACGCACCCAAUAACCCGCCUCUGUAACUACAGCACCACGUAAUGUGUGUUCCUCUGUGUGGCGCACCUCUGGUUCUCGAUCCAGUUCCAUGUACAUGUUCCCGAGUCUCCAAACUGUAAACGCUUAGUAGCUGGCUGCUGAAAGAUCUUUUAAGCGUUCUGUCUCCUACCCGUCUUGAAGCACCGCGUCCCUCUUUAAGGAAGUGUCCAUUACCGGGCUAUCGCUUCGCCGUGUACAAGAGGGGAAUGUAGGAUAUAGCAAAGCCCAGCCCGCCUCUUAGUGGUGCUCUGCAUGCUGUCUGCUGACGUGUCCGUUUUCCUAUUCACAAAUCUUUGUUACUUUGUGAUGAUGUGCCCAGGCAGAGGGUCUAUCAUUCCCGUCUCAGCCCCCUAGGUCCACACGCCACAUGCCAUAUCUUCCCGCGGGUUUGCAAGCACGUUCAUGCUCGGGUAACGUUUGUCUGCUGGUUUGGUUGAUGGCCUUUUAAUCAGAAACUCUGUGCGGCUUACAAAAAACGCAGGGUUUGGAGCUGGACUUGCUGGUCAGCGCCCCAGUGCUGUUGCCGACUGCCGUGCUGGCUCGCUUCAAAACCGAGACCGGCUGGACAGUCCAUGUGACGCCGUGGGAUGUCACGUAAGUGGUUUCGGAUCCAAGUUGAAAGACUGCCGUACGCUGGUGGAUGGGUGAUGCUGGGAGGGAACUGCAAAGGGGAGGGCAAGGCAAUGCUGUAGUGUAAUCCCUGGUGCCCAACCCUCUCCCAGCACAAGGGCACCAUACAUAGCAACGUAGUAUCCGUAUUUGCUGCAUAUCUUGCUUGCCAUUUGCUGGGAUUUACACCAUACACCAUGAAACACUGUCCACAUUCUAAACCACAUUGAAGUCACUUGGCGCCCUUCCUUGUGGGCGCUACCGCCACCGUCGCCACCAACACCGUAUCUAUAAACUAGCAGCAGCAGUAGCGGCAACGCCGCAACCUCAGCGACAUCACUCGGGUUUGACGUCACUUCCGACUGGCAGCAGCAGCUCGUACUGUCGUACGAUGCAUGGAUUCUGGAUUCGGAGCUCCUGGGUGGUCUCGUGCAGAGAGGUGCCGUUGCGCCGCCAGCACCGCUGCUCGACACUGCAGCAUUUGUUGAGAUCCAGGCUACGGCACAGCCGCAGGUACGGCGGUACGGCACGUCGUAUCGAUACCUGACGGCAGGAAUACCGUUAGGGAGCAACACGCUCGUUCUGUACGGCAAUCACAAAGCAUUGUGGCAGCUCUACGGUGAUGAGCGCAUGCGGCGGCGGCUGGGGCUGCAAGUGGGUGCACCCGUUGGGAGCGGUAGCAACAGCAGCAGUAGCGACGGCAGUAGCAGUAGCAGUAGCGGCAACGAUAGCGAUAGCGGCGACAGUAGCAGCAGUAGCAGCAGGCUGUCCGAGGAGGAUGGUUCAAUACUGCCGUUGCUGUUGCCGCGAGUGUGGACGUGGGAGCAAUUGAUUGACGCAGCGGCGGCUGUCAACGGUACGGAUUUCGACGGCGACGGUGUAGUCGAGUACGGCAUAUGCCUCGAGGUCGCUCCAGGUAGGGUAGGUGCACUGGCUCCGCCACGGCCGUCACCGCCGCCGUGGCGGCUGCCGACCGCUAUCACUGCCACAGCUGCCUUGAAGACAGCUCGAUCGGGUUGCUAGGAAACGUCCAAGCCCUCAUAUUGAGGGAGGAUGACAAGUGGUGUCUGUCUGUCUGGAUGGAUGGAUGGAUGGAUGGCACGCGGUGGGGGGGCAGUAAAGAGGGCCCUAAACCAAACCAUGCAAGAUCAUGUCGACAGCCAAAUAAAACAAGGAAAGGGAAAACAGGAAAAUAAGAGGGAGGAAACCACCACCCUACUUAGCCGAAGAGUGAGGAGGAGACCCUACAUAGCCAAGGACACGCCUUGCCCGGAUAUCAGCGACCCUCUAAGCGGCAUCCGAGAGUUUCCUGCUCCAUCGCGUUCUUCAUAUCGCCGCCUGUGAAGGGGACUAUGUCGUACCGCACUCUAACGUCCACGCAAACCCCGCAUUGAGCGUUGUGUCCCACCAUCAAGUGUGUGUGUUACGCCACCUUCUGGAGCUGCAUGACCCUCUAAAGGUGUAACCUGGGGCCCCAUGCGAGCCCUGAAGGGGCCCACGGGCCAGGGCCCCCAGGCCGAAUUAGGCAGAUUAGGCAGUCAUGGGGUAUAUAAAUAUAUACCUUAUACCAUAUACCUUAUACCUUAUACCAGCCCAUACGAGUCAUGAAUGGGGAUCAAGUAUCCAAGUGGAGACAACAACUUUCCAAUUCCAUAUCCAGGGUUGUCCAUACCAUACAGCAUGAAGGCCCGCACAAGCACCCGCAAACAGGAUGCAGCCAAGCAGUGAGUCACGGAGCUGCGGGCUGUAGGAGGCCUAGACAUCUGGGGCUGAGACGCCAUGAGCCGAGGCGUGAACCUACCUUUAGAAGCCUGUGACGAAUGGAUCGGGCUGUGGGGAAUCGCGGUCAUUGGCAUUCCGGGUCGUGCAGUUGGGGCCGAAUGAGAAUGCGGCGGAUUGGAAGAUACCUACCUAAGGGGGGAAGCUACGGAACGAUAACACAUGACCAGAGCGGUGAAUGCGAGGGCGAGGGCAAGAAUAUGCACGCUUAGGUCAGACUAGGGAGCGUCCUUUCGGAAGCGUCCUUUCGAGUGCAGACAAACGUUGUUGGCUGAUUCGUGGAGAAAACAUAUGCUUGUCUGUGCAUAUGUUUGUAUGGCGAAGGUUACAAUGCAAACGGAAAACGCCAGGGGCAAAAAAUAGAGUGAGAGAGACGGGGGAACAGGAUACACAGGGAAGGUCCCCCAGCAGUUUUCUGUGCCCCUCCCCCGACUCAGGCCUGGAUACACAAGGCAGCCACCCAGUUGAGUUGACAGCCAAGGGGGAUGUAGCGCUGCCGCCAACCUAUUUACGUGUGUACAUAUGUACGUAUGUAUGUAGCUUUGUUUUCACACGCUCAUGCUGCUGUGUCGCCUUGCCGGCAGGUUGUUUAGCACCAGCGCUGCUUCAGGGCAUUGCAGCAUCCUACCUACAGACUCACGGGGCCAGCCACGGCGUCCUGAUUGAUCCCUCAUCCAUGGCCUGGCGCCUUAACAGCCCAGGGUUUCGGAGUGCAAUAUGGACGCUGCAGCGGUUGCUGUCGUACUCGGCGCCAUUAUCGCAGACAUCGGUCACCACCAGUGACGGCGUUGACGCCGCAGCUGCACCAUCAUCGUCAACGUCAGCACGGUCAUCGACAUGUCGACGGCUGUCGGCUGCGUUUGCGGAGGGGCGGUGCGCAUUUGCCAUUCACGGGCUGUCGCACCUCAAGGCGAGUUUCCGUCUGCUGUCUUGCCCCGUUAAAAAAGAUGACGGAAGGGGAGAGGGAUAACGGAAGGGGAGAGGGAUAACGGAAGGGGAGAGGGAUAACGGAAGGGAAGCAAGUCAGAAUACCGCAAGUCAGGAGAAAAUGAAGGCGACAGGGAUGCGUGGGCGAAAGCGGGGCAUGGUGUUUGGCAUGCGUGAGUCCAUUUCCUGUGAACACGACAUUAUUGCGUGCCGUGUACAAUUAUAUUACCAUGCUGCUUUUGCGGGAGCUGCUACAGCAGCUGCAACAUGACUACUGCUGCUGCUGGUGAUGGUGCUGUGCUGCUGCAGGCUGCUUACGUAUGGCCAGGGGGGGAUAAGAAUGUCGUGUACAGCACUCGCAUCAUGAUGCUCCCUGGUAGCACCCAAGUGGACCGGGGCUUGUACGGCAUCAUGGAGGAGUGUACGGCGUCGUCUUGCCCUUACGCGUCGCCGUUGUCCGACAUAAAGUCUGCCGCCACGUACAGCAGCAGCUGGGUGAGCGCUCUGACUUCCGCACUGUUUCGUAGUGGUGGCGGCGGCGCCGCCGCCGCCGGCAGCGUCAACGUCGCGCCGCUGGUGUACGCCAACCCUGUCGGCGGCAUCAACGCAGCUUCGCCGGCGGCUUCGCGCGCCGCAGCUGCACGGCUCCUGUCGAUGCUUGGAUCAGCUCCAGUCCAAGAGAUUCUGGCCAGGGACCCGACGUCAGGUCAGCGUGGGUUGUGAGAUAUCGUUGGCAAAUUUGACCUCUCAAAAGUUCUCAGUGAGAAUCGAACUCGAAACCAUCAGUUAACAGAACCGCUAGGUAGCUCUACAAGCAAAACUGGCUCUGGAACUCGUCAACAAGGAAUUGAGCAGGGCGGAUGUAUAGCUGGGCAGGGCAGAGGGAAACCUAGAACACGGCCAGCUGGGAGGUAGAGGGGAGGGCCUUAGCGAAGACGGUGUCUUUGCCGGGACCUGGGUCCAGGAGAAAUCAAUGCCAAUGGAGAGGCCAUCCGGUGUCGCUCCCAGACAGCGGGGUCCAGGGGGCUUGUUGGCGCCCGGUUAUUGCAUGUUGGACUUGGGGGGGGGGUGAUGGUGGAGAUGGUAGUGAUGGUGAUGGUGGAAAUGGUGGUGAUGGUGGAGACGAUGAUGAUGAUUGUGAUGAUGAUGGUAGUGGAGACGGUGAUGGUGUGGUGGUCUUCCUAAUAAUUGCUGGUCUACUGCAAGGGGCUCCGAAAGCCGAACACCGAACGUUUAAUCAUUCAUUCUGUCCCACUAUCUAUAUUCUCCGCCCCGUUUGUAUGUAUAACUGUCAGGGUGUGUAUGUGAAAGCAAUGGAAAAUGUGUGACUUUCGUGCACAUUAACCUACCCACUUAAUUACCUACCUGCCUACACAUAUCUGUCAUUAUGUCUGUCAGCUCACUUGCCCGUAAUAAGCUCCCACUUAGGUCUCCCCUUUUUCUCCACCUCCUUCUCCCUCUCUUUCUCCACCUCCAGGUGUGACACCCUUUCGCCGCCUGGACCGGAUGACCACCCGCACAAAUGAGUCGACCGCCCCCCUCGAGUCGACUUCACCGUCGUCGCUGCAGCUAUUGCAGCAGCAGCAGGUCAGUGCGGUAAUGGUGGCGCCAGCUACGCAGCAAGACCUGGACCUGGCUGACCUAACUGAGCGGCUGUGGGACCAUCCGAACGCGGCUCCAGCGCUGCGAGUGCCUGGGGCUGAAACCCUUUGGUAAGUGGCGAAUGGGGGAGCAGAAAUGGAUAUGGGCCGGAAGAAAAGGGCGGAAAGAAUGAAAAGGGGAGGAGUGGAAAGGGAAGAAAGGGGCGGGAAGAAUGGAGAAUGAGGCACGAUUGUGGAGAUGGGGCCCAUGAUUGCGGAGGGAGGCAUUUCAUGAUCCACUUGCUUGGUACCGUCCUACGGCUCCGCUCGCCAGUUUUCUCGCUCCAUCCUGAAUGCAUGAAAAUAGGCCGUACUUUGACGCGGCCAUCGCGGAGCUCUCGCCGUACAACUCACCUCAGCUGUCAUUGACGCCUUCCACGAACCUGCCGUACGCCGACGACGAGCCGCCGGAGACGCCGGCGGCGGCGGUGACGGCGGCGCUGACACUAUUGUCACGGAAGCUGCCGGCGGCGCUGGAAGCGGCGCUGCCGUCGCCGGCACAACGCCGUACGGAGUACCGGGCUUCGCUGUCGUACCGUCAACCGGUGCUGACUCAGCGAGUGGUGGUAAGUUUUACCUGGGUCGAGCUCCUGAAGAUUUUGGGGUUUGGGGAGAGGUUGAAUGAAAGGGGGGAAAGAGGGGGGUUUGUAACGCUUUGCAGGGCCGCAUGCAUGUCGUACGGCACACGAUGGACUUGUGCUCCCUUUUCUCCCGGAGCACCUUCACGCUGCAAAAUAAAGCAUGAAGGUCCGUCUCCUGAUUAGGCAACAUUUUAAAAUUGUUCUUGGCGUCUUCAGAAUUGUUAGAACUUAAUUUGCCCUUGCGUGGCCUUCCCUGCACUGGGUGUACCCUGUACCGCGUAAUGGGCUCCAUCCCGUCCACCCCCUGUUGCGUUCGGUUUGAUAGGCGCAGCCAUCGUCAUCGCGCUUACGUGUCAAACUCAUUGUCGGACUAACGCUGGGGCUUGGCGGCGGCGCCGUACUGCUGGCGGCGCGCGUCAUCCUGCAAUCUCGCCGUACGCUGCGGCGGCUGCGCGGGACCAGCAGCGGCGGCGACGACUCGUCCAACCGCCGCAAUACGGCAACGUAUGUCGUACUUGACAUUCAGGUGCACAUAUUCGCUUACAUGAGCGCAUAACGGGUCCGUCGUACAAGGCUACUGGGCCCCCUCCCUUUUCUGACCGGGUUUGGGGGUUUCGGACUUGAAAAAACGGAACCUGGGGAUAUAUUCCUAUAGCCAAUGGUGGAGGCGAUUGGGAAGGGAUUGCGAUUGGUGCCCGGACGGGGCUCCUGGCGGGCUUCCCUUCCGAUCUUGUCUUGUUCCGAUCGCUCAUCGAACAGGGGGGAAAACGUUGCCGGUUUUCCUUCCUCACACAAAGGGCACGCGUUGACAGGCCUGAGGGAUAUGGCCUGAGGGAUAUGGCUUUUCCUGACCUGGCUGUGACCCGUUGGUUUUCCCCGGCACGGGCGCGCAUCCUCCCCUGUUCGCUUGGGCCCUUUGUGCGGGUGCGUGUACGUGUGUGUGCAGGGUCUCUCUGAGCCGAGUCUUCCGGAAACAGUACGGGAGCAGGCGCUUCGGUUAUGUCACGAUGUGGUCAAGCAGCUGGCGCGCCGGUAUGAUGGGGAGCUCGUGCCGCUACCCCACGAUGAAGCAACACCGCAGCUGUCGGCGUCGGCGGCAGUACGACAUGGCGUCGGAGGAGACAGGCUGCCUGAGUCACCAGCAGCGGCUCUGCAGGCGGCUCUGGCAGCGGCGAUGAGGGGGUCCACAGCAGAUCAGGCAGCAGCGGCGGUGGCGGCGGCGGCGGCCGCUGCCGGUGGGCCAUGCAGUAGCGCCGGGUACGACCUCGGUCCUGAGAGUUGCACUGGCGGGCGGAUGCGGCCGCCGUACUGGGGUUACGAAAGUAGCUACCUGUCACUGGUGUCUCGUGAUCUGGACGCGCCGCUUCUUCAACAACAGAACACCGAUGUUGUACCAGUUUUGGAUGGGCCGCUGGGGGCCGUUUCUGGCUACGGCAAGGCAACCAUCGCCGCUGCUACUGCCGCCACCGCCGCUGCCGCUGCGAACUUCUCGUCUUGCAUGGCACAGGACGGAACGCCGGAUGGCGGUGCGCCACUGUCCCCGAUGCCGCUUCCGACAUGUAUUGUCCCGACGGCGACGGCGACGACGACGGCGGCAGUAACGGACUCAUCAGGACAGACGUCGCCUCUGGUGAGUUGCCGUACAACAGGAGCGGCUGCAUCUCAACGUCAUGCCACAUGGUUUCAUUUGUUUGAUCCGCUGAUGACUCGACCGGGGCUUAACAGUCGAGGGUCGACGGAGGCCAGCAUGGCGGCGGCGGCGGCGGCGGCGGCGGCUCAACAGCUGCCAUUGGGAAGUGCCGACGCCAACGGGGCCGUACCGACUGACUGUACGAGAUCAGCAGGUAACGGUGGCGGUGACGGGACUAGCAUGGAUUCCAGCUGGAAACGCGCUGGUGGGGCUGGAGCACUCAGUGGACGAAGUUUGCACAUCGACGUGGGCGGCAGCCUUGAAAGGACGGCAGACGGUUGUAUGACUUCACCCGGCGGCGCCGCUGCCGCCACCACCGCUGCCGCUGCCGCUGUUUCACCCCAAAACAUGGUUCAUUACGGUAGUGGAGGCGGAGAGGGAGGCGGCGACGGCAGCAACGGCGGGGGCAGAGGCGGCGGCACUGGCGGGGCAGCGCCUGGGGCAAAUCAGUUAAGUAUGGUACAGCAGACUGCGCCGCCGCCGCCGUCGGAUGGGCUGCAGCAGCAACACCGAACUUGGACUUCGAUGCACCUCCAACAUUCUGCUACAGCCAACCCUGCGCUAUUCCUGGAGCAAUUCAAGCCUGCCACUGGUAAAGAACACCUAUCUGCAGGACAUCUCUCUGACAUGCUACUGCCGCUGCCCUCCUCGGCGACAAUUACUACGAAGGCUGCCGCUGGAGCCGCCGUUGCCGCGAAUGCCGCUGCCGGCGGCGGGCCCUGGGCGACUAUGAGCCUUAACUCCGAGCCGCACCUACCGCAGUCACCCUUUACCGUACAAUACUGUACAUCCAGCGGCGAGAUUCCCCGGCCUUUACAGGACUCGGACGGUGCGAGUCUGUCGGGCCUGCCGGGGCAAGGUCUUACUUUGGGAGGUCAGGUGCUGGGACAUCAGUACCUAUCGGGCGCCUGGCCUUCACCGUCAGUGCUGCCCACCCUACCGGAGGGCGUUACGGACAGCGGAAUGACAACAGUUGAUAGAGCUGUGGUGGCGGCGGCGGCGGCGGUUUCGGGACCCAGAAGCGGCGGCGGCGGCGCCGCCGCAACAUCGGGAGGUGUUUCCGACGACUUGCUUGCAGCCAUGCACGCUGGUCGCAUCCUUCCUCACGCCCAGUCGACACCGACGACGCCGCUGCUGGGGCAGCUGCACGCUCUGUCGCCGCUACGGCUGCGGCCGAUGCCGUACACCACGCUUGCUGGCGCAUCGUCACAGCUAUCGCCGGCUGUGCCGCCGGCGGUAGCGGCAGCGGCGGCACCGUCAAGCCAGCCUCUGUCAUCCCGUGGUGGCGGCGCGCUGGCAGUGGCAAUGGCGGCGGCCAGGGCGGCGGCGGGGGGGGCGUCCUUGGCAUCACAGCGUCAGCUCUCUACACGGCUGGCGUUAAUUUUCGCCUCUGUGCACGACGCCGUUUGUUUCUGUGUGCACAUGCAGGUAUGGCACGUGGUUUCUCGCAGGAUAUGUUAAUCACUUUGCCUGAUAUUGGUAUCAGUAUCAUACUGCUGCUGCUGCCGCUGCCGCUGCCGCUCCCAGCUCAUCAUACCGCCAUUACUACCCUUACCCCAUUCUUCGCUACGUGUUGUCCUGUGUUGGAUACCUGCUGCGGACCAUCUUGUAGGCAAUGUUAACCAACUGUCGAUGGCCUUCCGAGGUUCUGGAGCUGUCCAGCUGUCAACCGAUUGCCGUACGGCCCAGAGCUGUCAGCGCCGACGUACAACAGCAGGCAUGCGGCGCCGGCGGCAGCCCGCGUGCUGACGCCAGGAAGGGGGGCGUCGACGGCGUCGAUGGGGCGGCAGCCGCCGCUGGCGCCAUGUCCACCGGCGUCAGCGGUAUGGCCGGGUGUACGGAUCCCGGUGGCGACGGCGUCGUCAUGGCAUCGACGGCAUCCUCCUUCAUCACAUCCGCAACACCGUCGCCCUUCACCCCCACUGGAGCUGUCGACAGAAUGAAGUCUCUGAUCAGCGGCGGUGCGAAGGGAAGAUCUGGCCGAGCGCUGCGGCAGGGCCAUCUAUCUCCUAGGCUGGCGGUGCACGGCCUCGGCGGUGGCGCCGCCGCUGCCGCUGCCGUACCCGUAGCCACCGCCGCCGGUCUAGCGGCGGCCCCGGAAAGGUCGGCGCUCUCCGUCAGCCGCUUCGCCACCGCAUCACUGGGCCCAGGCACCUCGGCCGGCGGCUGCGGAACCGUCGCCAGGCCUUUCACCUCCCGCAGCCUUAUGCCGUACACGAGCUUCGGCGGCUCUGCACACCUUGGGUCCGACCCAUGGGUCGUCGGCGGCCAAAUUUCCUCCGCAGGGUGCUCCCGGAGUGGAAGCACAACAGUUUGGCGACCGCCGCUACUCAAUGGCUCGUUCAACAGUCGCGGCGGCAGCGGCGGCGGCAGAUAUACGGCAGCUGUGCCGGGAGGCACGGCAAUGAUGACCUCGGGCUUGCAGUACGGCGGCGGCGGUGACUUCUGCCCGGGAUCCCAUAUCCAACCACCGCGCUCGGCGCUCGGCAGGGUUUCUCGCAGCGGUGGCGGCGGCGGCGGUGGUGGCGGUGGUGGCGUCAGCCCAGCGUACGGCAGCUCCCUGGCAAGAGUGCCGCACAUGGGUGCCGUAUCCCAACCGCUUCCAAAGCUAAAUACCGUACAGUUCUCGCCAUCAUUUCCUGAACAAGCCAGCCUCUGUACCGCCACAAGCACUACUGCCAUGAGAUUCCCGAUGCCACAUGGGUGCGGCCGUACAGCUGCCAUACAGCGCUCAGGAUGUGUCGUACCAGAUGUAGCGACUACGGCACCCCCGAUGGCGACGGGUGGCGGGGCCCGCGCGAGCUCCGUGCUUACUUCCCCGCCUGGCAUUGGCGGCGUCAGUGGCAUCGGCGGCGGCACCAUAACAGCCGCCGCUGCAGCCGUUGCUGCUGGCGGCGGCGGCGGCGGCGCCAUUACCGGAGCAGCGGCUGCACUGGAAAGUGGCGAUUCCGGACUACCUGGUCGGAUAGGCGGCUGCUCAGAUCGCGACACCGCCAUGGGUAUCAUUCUCGGCAGCUUGGACUACGAUACCGACGGUGAGGCAGCGGGACUUCAACAUGUCCCGUCACCGCCACCGUACUUCACGAUUGCGUCUACUGCAGAAGGAAAAGACGUCGACGGCGGCGCCGCGGCGAUGAUGACGGCGUACGGCGGCACUGGUACCACCGGCGACGUCAGUGACAGAGUGGUGGCGGCACAGGUCGGCAGUGGUGGAGGUGGUGGUGAUGGUGGGGCCAACUGCUACCCAGUUCAAGCCGCGUCACCGGCACAACUUCCUGGCGUUACGUACGACAAUGUGUACGACAAAGCAGCGGGGACGUCGCCGACAGGAGGUUUCCAGGCCCGCCGGCAUUCUUCGUAUGGUGAUGGCUCCGCCACCUCGCCCGCCGCCCCGAUGCCACCGAUGCCGCAGUUGUUCAUCAUUCCGGCGGUACGGAACAUGCAACAGGCGAUGCCAACGCCGGAGCAGGUGGAUGCGCAUGCAGCCAUGCCGCCAUCUUGGAAGUCACCGCCCGACACGUCCUCGUUGAGGAGUGCUGCAACCCCGGUAACAUGCGAGAUCGGUAGGACUUACCCGUUGUACGGCGCACCGGCAACGCUGAAGCUCAACACUGACAUCGAUGCGCCGCCGCUGUUAUCUGUGCCGCCGUUCGCGGCGGCGGCGACGGUAGUGUCAGACGUCAAUGCUGGCGGCGGAUGCGACGUGGGGGAGCUGUCUCUCAGCUUAGCGGCUGGGUUUCGGAAAGUGCCCACGGCGGAAGUGUUGCCGCUGCCGCCGCCGCCGCCAGCGCCCCCGCCAGCGCCAUCCCUGGCGGAGAUGGCGGAGGAGAUGGUUGUGGGAUCGCACGGCGCCUGGAUCCACCCACCACAACCCUGGUACGGCCGUCCGGUGGCAGAAUGUAAGGAAGAAAUAUCUUCCAGUACGAACAACCUGAACCCUGCUUCGACCAUAGGAUCGGCACUGACAGCGACAAGCUUAAGCGGUGAUUGCCGUACAAGCAGGGAUGUAACCAGGCGAGCAGCAACGGCGGUGUUGGAGGCUGGCGACGGGAGCGCGACGGGGCUGGGGCCUUCCGUAGGUAUCGGCAACGACGGCGGAGGCAGCAGCAGAUGCGGCGGAGGCAGAGGUGGUAGCGGAGGCGGGCGGGUGGCUGUCUCACACCCGUCAUCUCCGCUAUUGAGGGAAGCAUUGUCGCCGCCGCUGCCGCCAUCGCCGCCGCCGCCGCCGCCGCCACAGCAACAGACGCCAAGAAUGGGCGACGGGAUGCCCUUUGCGUCUGUACCUUUGACGAAGCUACAGCUGGAGAACUCGGAAAUCACACCGGCGUGUUCGACCGGUAGCCCAAAAUCCGUACGACUGCGCAUGCUGCAGCGCAUGGUGGGCGCCGUGCAGGAUACGAUGUACGACACUGCGCCAGUAGUUAGCGGGGGCGGAGGCGGUCAUGGUCUGCGGAACCCGGUGUACGACGGUACCAACGCCAACAGCCUUGGUAGUGGCGGCGGCCAACCGUCGCAUGUGGUAGUGGCGGCAGUGGCGCCUCCGCCAUUGCCGCCGGCGGCGCCGCCGCCGUCGCGCCGGAGCGUCCGUAGCUUCGGAGAGCAGGUGAGGGGAAGCUCAAUGAAAAAAUGACAUCAUGGCAUUUGUAUUGCUGGAUUUAGGAUUUUAUGGCCUAGGAUUGGAUCUGGAUUUUGGCUUCGGGUUGUGUGGUCAUGAUUUGAAUCUGGAUUCGGGCAUUGAGGCUUAGGGGACGCAUUUGGAUCUGGGUUCCAGACUUCUUUUUUUCCGACUGUGUCGAAUCGAGUAAGGUAGGAGCUUAGCAGCUUGGCAGCUUGGGUUAUGAGAUCAGAUCCCCCAUCAGAUCCGCUCCGCCGUGUACUUCAAUCACCUUUUUGCUAUACUGGUAAAUAGUAUAAAUCAAUAGGUUCUUCAUAAGCUAAGAAUAAUCCAAAACCCCAGUUCUUUUGGUUAUGCGUUUUGUCGCUGAAUAAUUAACAAUUUGUCCGUGAUGGCGGAAUGUCUCCUGUACCCAAUGUACUACAUAUGUACGGCAACGUGUACGACUGCAGGUGCGACUGACCUUCGAGGAGCUUAUGGGCGUAGAGCGAAGUAAUUUGGAGGACGGCGUCACGGUCAUCUUCCGCGGUCCACGUGUCGUGUGCGGUAUCAGUACUUGGCAGUACGGCGACGAGGAAUGUACGGAUAUGUACGGCAGGCGACGGACCGCUAUAGACAGCGGUGAGGAGGACUUGCCGUUGACGGGGGAUGACGAAUUGGCCAUGUUGGGCAGACUUGGCGGAGGCUUAACCUGCAGAGGCGAGAUGAUGCUGACAUCAGCGACGGAAACGGCGGCGGCGCAUGCGCGAGGCGUUGCGGAAAGACUGGAGUCCCUUGCAGAGGUUAUGGCACUCGACGUGAUGGACGAUCCGGUGGCGGCGGCGGACAGUAGCGGUGGAGCCGAUGCUGACGGUGACGCUGCCGCUACAGCCGGAGCCGCCGCCUCCGCCACCACCGCCUCCGCUGCCGUCACCUUCGGGGUGGCGGCAUCACCGGACGACGCAGGUGAUCAGCAUCUCUACGCGACUCAGUCUAACCCACUCUUCUACAAAACCGCUAACGGCGUGCUCCCUGCGUUGACGCCGUCGUAUGGUGGCGGUACGGACAUCACUAGCGACCAUGUUGACGACGAUGUUCCAAACCCAGAAGGCGCACCCGCCACGAGCGUCGGGGGCCUUGGUAGCGGCGCCGACGACGGUGGCGGCGGGGCUCCUGAUGACGCUCGUGUCGGUGUUGUACGGCGGCGUACGACGAUCAUGUCGCCCGAAGCACGGAAGUACUUGCGACGGCGGCGGAUGCCGGCGCCGCUGCGCCGCGCACUGGCAAUCUGCGAGAGCGGACAGGGCGGGUUUGUACUGCUAGAUGGGGCGACGUACAGUGCGUCAUCGCAGGAGGCCCUACAAGAACAAUGCAUGGUAGGUACAACGAGCAUUCCUGCAACCACCCUACCGAACCCGCGCACGUGUGCAAGUGCAUCCAACCACGAAUGAAUGAAUGAAUGAAUCCAUUCAUGUCCGUGUGUGCAUGUGUACGCAUGCGUGCGUGUGUGUUUCGCUUUUGCCAUCGCUUAUGCUGACGCGAAUACAGCUGAGGAACAAAGCGCAAGUGAAUCAGCGUGUAUGUGGUUGCGUGUAUCAUGUCUUUUCCGCCUCUUCCCUCGCCCAUACCCCUCACCCUUUAACUGUCGUCCCUCUCCCUUCCCCUUCCCCAUCCCCCCUGCCCCUUCCCCAUCCCCCCUACCCCUUCCCCAUCCCCCCUACCCCUUCCCCAUCCCCCCUACCCCUUCCCCAUCCCCCCUACCCCUUCCCUCCCAACAAAAAAGAUCCUGCACAUGGGCGAAUACGUGCUGGCCGGUGUACGGCGCCCACUGGACCUCUACCUCGCGCUGGACUUCGCACACCUUGCCAGGGUGGCAUACCUGCGACCCCUGGCGUGCGCUGAGCAGCUGAGCUUGGGUUUGCCCUCCGCUCCCGUCAACACAGCCUCCAUCUGCUUUUCUUUGGUGGUCGGGAUGCAGACCCUGCUGGCCUGGAACACGGAAGUAGCCAAGGCGGCGCUGGCCGUGCUGCGGGAUGCAGUGCUGCCGGCCCUGCUCAGCCACGGUGGAUAUCUGGUGGGUGUACGGCGUACGGCAUUUAGGUUGUGGGGCAGCUGGGGUGCACGGCGUACGGUGUACGGUGGUGGAACUUGGGUCAACCACCAGCCUUGGGUUUUGUUCCCCCGGACCCAUUUCCGGACUCCGGAAUCUCCCGGCCCCUUUCCCGUGGUGACAAAACACAGGUCUGGGAGUAGGGCGUGGGGUUUUGCCGUAUUUCAAACGCAACCCACGAAGGCCCCCUCUCCCUCUUCCCUGUCCCCACCCCGCGUCCCCAGUCGCCGUCGCUACGCCCCCUCUCCCCAACCCGUGUGAUAGUUCCGGACUUUGAUCGCCGGCAGCUCAUUUCUGAGUUGAUUGCAUGAGGUUUCCCAAUCCCCCUGUGCAGGGAGAGCAGGCGGUCCUAAUCCCAAAUUCGUAACGUACACGGCAGUUCGUGCUUUGGGCGUCGGGGCAGUUGUUUUUACCGUUGAUCUGCUUGCUCUGCUUACUUUCCUCCUUCGACAUUAUCGCUUUUUACACUUUGCACAUUGCCAAUGGGUGCAGUUACUUAUAUAUCUUUUCCAUCUACUAAUUAUGAUUCCUUUUCCCCCUUCUUCCCUUUCCUAACCCAUCCUCAGGUAGAGGACGCGGAUGGUUUGUUGCUGACGGCCUUCUCCAGCAGCCGGUCGGGCCUGGCCUGGGCUCUUGAGUGUCAGGAAGAGGCCAAGCACCUCGACUGGUGCGUCAGGGCGUGAGGGCCCUGAAUGAAACCGUUCGGAUGGGGAGGGAGUUCAGAUGGGGAAGAAGCAAGUCUUGGUUUGGGGGUCCAAGGGUAAGGGGCGGGAAGUCCAGGUGCGGUGGAGGGGACGUGUAAUAUCAAGGGGAGUACAACUGCCGACGACGACCAAAGCGGCGAGCUGCGAAGGAAGUCCUACGCAGCCACGAGACGCAGCUGCUUUUGUGCCUUUACUUUACUACCGACAUUGAUCUGGGGGGAAGGAACGGCACAAGACUUUUAUUGCAUGAAAUUACAAACUAAAAUAAUAUUGUUGAUAGUUAAAUAGUAGAAAAAUAAAGAAUAAUAUUAUUAAUUUUUAUUUAAUUUAUGAAAAAAGUGACAUCAAAUAGUAUAACUUCGUUUCAAAUUUAAAGGUAGCUUGUUUGGCAACAUCUUAAAAUAAUGUAAUAGUUCGCCUUGGACGUCGAAACCAAGGUAGUGAUUGGCAUCAUGCCAACACCCUAAGGGGUUUCUUCCCGCCGGGAGUCCUCAUGCAGCUCCUUGAGCCGCAUUUCUUACCAGCUGUGCAACUUUAAGAAAAAAGUUGCCGACCAAUUGCCUAAACAGGCCGAAGGAGUUGCUCGGCCAUGAUCUGGGCAAGGAGCUGUACAUGGAUGACCUGGACAUGGAAGGAAAAGAGGAGGAGGAAGAGGACGGGGACAGGGAGAGUGGCAACGAUAUAUUGCCCGUGGGGCUACCGCCGGCACCCCCAGUGCCCCAUGUCAAUGGUGGCGACGGCGGCGAUGGUUCCACCGCUGCUGCUGCUGCCGCUGCACCUUAUCCUCGACGGCAUUUGGUUUUUCGGUGAGUGGCCGGAUGGUUGACACAUUGACACAUCGUCUGUAAACUUCAGAAUAUGAAAUAACUAAGGAAAUGGUGACACUCAGCGAUCAGUGUUGUGGUAAUUGCAGAUGCUGAGUAAGUAGCUCCUAGGGAAACAUUUCUUGGUAAAGAGAGCAUUUUUGGUAAAGAGAACAGCACGGCGCACUGUGCAGCAGCACUGUAUGCAUUCUGUGAUUUAAUGUUGUGUCCAUGAUAUCCCCCAUUAUUUGCAACUUCCCUUAUUAGGGCGAUUAUACAAGCACUACAGUCUUCCAUCAAUGCCACUUAUCACCACCAUCACCACCAUUACCACCAUCAUCACCAUAACCAUCACCAUCACUCAGCUACGGCUCUUGCCAGCGUAGUCCAAUAAAUAUACACCACCCUCUACCAACCACCCGCGUGUGUGUGUGUGUGUGCACAGGGGCCUCCGCAUCAAGAGCGGCCUAGACUGCGGUGAUGUGUUGGCAAGAGUACAUGCGACCACAGGGCGGAUGACGUACCGGGGUCGGGUCAUGAAUCGCGCGGCACGUAUUGCUGGCAUGGCCACCGGAGGUCAGGUGAGCUGCAGUGGCUGCAUGUAGUAGCUGGCCGCUGUAGUACAAAGGCCUCCCGAGACGCUGUGAAUGCGCUUUAGCGCGUAUUUGUGUUGGGCCACGUGUGAGCGUGCGAGGUACGGUUGGGUGGGUGCAAUUGUCGUGCAGUUGCGGUACAGGUAAUAGCUGUUGAGUUCCGUUAUAAUUGACAGCUGUUAGUGUUGGCUGCAGUUUGUUGAGAGGGCUACUGUCCCACCGCGCUCACACCUAUGCCAUAUAUACAUAUAUACAUACCUGUAUAUUAUAUACAUGACCGGAUCCAUGGCUUAGUGACAAGUUAUUAAUAAUAUACAUACAAUAUAUAUACAUACAUAUAUACAUACAGUUUAAGUCAGGCAUUACAUGUAAGGCAUAUACUUAUUCCCCCAGGGGUAAGGCAUUACUAUUAUAGCACAGAGGUUUGGCAGCCUCCUCGUGUUGGGUGACACCUUUGAGUUAGUGAAGGUUCUGGGUUCAAUUCCUUGGCAGACCCCCGACAUAAAUCGGGAGGAUUACAUUUACUAAUCGCCUGAGGCGUGGAGAUGAGGUCUAGUUGAUGAUGGACUAAGUUUCGCAUGCUGAGUUGGUGAUGUUGGCUGAUCUGUCUCUACGGAUGUCGGGUGACUUGAUGAGGCGGGGUCUAGGUAGCAGGACCAAACAACCACAACCGUCGGUUGUAUGGUGGAAUUCACUUUCAAAUAUAUAUAGUCCAUGGCCUCUCGGCUUUAACAGACCCCCCCGCACUUGUGUGCGGCACUUGUAUAACGCGUCAACACGUCAACGCAACUGUAGUAGCUGGCCGCUGAAAAGACUGGUGAGCGACUGCUACAGCAACAGCUCCAGAAGGUGGUGUAACACGCACGCUAAUUAUAUUACAUCAUUUCACUGUGUUUACAUCCCACCUUACAUUAUAAUAAAUGAUGUACAUCAUUAUCCACACUGCCAUUCUCUUCCCCCACCGCGGCAGGUGCUAUGUUCUCGAGGGCUGUGGGACAGCAGCGGCCUGGCGGCGGCUCCCGACCUUUGUCAACAGGCACUGGCAGUGGGGGCGAGCCUUGGCGACGUGCAACUCAAGGGGCUGUCCACGAAGAUGGAAAUCAUCAGUUGCAUGUACGUACAUAAAUACGCACAUAUGCAUGUACAUACAUAGGUACAUAUGCACGUACAUACAUACGUACGUACAUAUGGACGUGCACACAUACGUACAUAUGCACGUAUGCAUAAGUGUAUGGAUACGGCGUCGUGCUGCAAAUGCAAGUUAUGCCUUCGGAGGGUAACGCACAGAUGUACGUGCACAGAUGUACGUGCACAGAUGUCGACCGUAUGCCGUUACGUAAUGCAGACUUGUUCGUACCUUGGCCGACAUUGAUCUCCUUCAUUUCAGCCCGUCCCUUCGCCUCCGUCGUCCACAUCCCACAUUCCUCUGCUUUCACAGCUAAACCCCUAAACCCCUAAAACCCUAUUUCCCAAACACUUAACUAACCGACUUGUCCUGCCCGGCGGUUCUUGCCUUCCUGGCGCCCCUCAGCCGCAUCCUGCGCUCCGAAGUCAUUCCUGUGGCUCAUGAAGAUGUCGUAUUGGAAAAUAGCAUAGGGCCCAUCGGCACUGCGCCCUUCCAGUUCCAUCAAAAGCCAGGUAUGCAGGAGCAGCAGCACCAGCAGCAGGAGCAGGACGAGGAUGCAGAGGACAACGGUGCCGACGUCGACGUCGAAGCCAGGGAUGGCGCCGACGCCAUCCCGCCGAAGCCAGGGAUGGCGCCGAACUGUGCCGUCCGGACAGUUCCUUCCGGUGGCGGAAAUUACCCAGGCACGGCAACGGCGACGGCAGCGCCGUGCCCUCUGGACGGCGGCGGAUCAACACCCACCGGGGCAUAUCCAGGGAGCCUUGCGUCGGCCGUACCAGCUCUGUCGGAGUACGACUCCGACGGCAGCGGCAAAGAAUGUGCUGGCGGUAGUGGCGGGGGCAGCAUCAGGAUCGGUCCGGGUGCUGCCGCCGGAGAGAGCUCUGCUGCCGUCGUCGCCGCCGCUGCGGCAGUGGAGUCAGCGACGGCCGGCAGCGUCGCUCCUGCUGCCGCCGUUGUUACCGCCGCUGCCGAAUCCGUUCCAUAUGUAUCUAAAGGUGAGAUGCUACAGCCUACGGUGGCAAUAGCAGCAGCGGCAGCAAUUAAUGCGGCGGCGGCGGCGCCGUCAAUGGCGGCGGCGGAGGGCAUGAAGGGCCCAGUUGUGUCUGGGACCGCCGCGGUGACGGCGGCGGCGGUGACGGCAGGGACGGCGGCGAUGAAGGCGACGACGGCGGCAGCGGCGGCGGCGGCUGCAGCCAAGAUGACGCUCGAGCGAGGCAGCACUGGAGGAAUAGCACGCUUAAGUCAAGGAGCCAGUCCUCCGAAUGUUAAGGAAUUCAGUCGCUACGCUGGCAGCUCAGCAACGGCAACGCUUCUAAGCCCGAAAGGUACGACAAAUGCAUCUGCAAAUAUGGCGGCAGCACUUGCGGUAGCUCGCAUGCGGCAUGCGAGCCAGCUGAGGCUUAACCGCUGUGUCCACGGCAGCGGCGGCGGUAUCCGUGGCGGUAGUGGUGCCGUACAGGCGGCUGUGCUGGCGGCGCAGGAUGAAGAUGACGACAUGGCGGAUCGGCUGGUCGCGGGCUACAGCUCCGACGGCAGUGGCGUCGACAGCGGCGACGGGGGGCCCGGCAGCGGCAGCGACGGCGGCAGCGCUGCAGAACCUGACCGAGUUCGUGUUGUUGUCAAUGGCACUUCUGGCGGUGUGGCAGCAUUACAUGGAAUGCUCCGCCGCCAGCGACCCGCUGGCAGUACGACAACAGCGGGGCUGUCCAGCGCCGCCAGCGGCGGAGCGGGCCAAGGCAAUGCCGCUGGAGCCGCUGUCCUCUCCGCAGCUGCAACCGCUGCCGCUGCCGGCGGCGGCAGUGGUGGCACAGCAAGAGGAGGCCAUCUUGCCAUGGCGGCGGCGGCAAACUUUAAAAAGGCGUUUCGUGUCGUCAAGAGGUCAAUCCUGGAGGAGCCGGACGGCGGUGGCCUUGCCAGCGCCUCCACCGCCGGAGGCUACGGCAGCGAUCGAUCCAGUGACGGCGACGGUGGCACUGGCGCUGGCGUCAGCGGCGGCGUGGAGGCCACGAAGCUUCGCCGGCCGCCGCCGCGGCGUGCGAGCGAGCUGGUGAAGUCCUCCGCAGCAGCCGUGACGGCGGCUGCGGGCGCCGGCGGUGCCCGUCUGUUCAAUCGUCUACGCGGCCUAGCCGUCGUACGUGGUGGCGGCGGGAUUAACCUCAGAGGUCGCGGUGGCGGCGAGGCAUUAAGCCGUUUUGACGAGCUGGAGGAAGACGACGAGUCGCGCUUCCGACCCACGUCAUCUGCCACCUCAGCGUUUUUCCCAUCGCUAUCACGGCCGCGUCUACGUGACGGCAGCGGCGGCGGCCUGUCGUACACUACAACGGAGCGAAGCAGCAGUUGCAACCCGUCACCGUUACAUCUCGUGAGUGUCGCCGGCCAGGCCUCUCGCACCGUUGCUGGCGGCGGCGGCGGCGGCACUGGCAGCGGUGACGCUACGGCCGCUGGCGGCAGCGGCGUCUUCGCGCGCGCCAGUAGCCGUCUAGGUGGCAACAGCCUGGUUGCGGAAAUGAGCCUUGCCUCCAUGACAAUGCGGCGACAAAUGCCCGUCUCGCGAUUUCUGAAAUCUUCUGCCAGCAGCGGCGGUGGCGGCGGCGGCGGUGGCGGCAGUGGCGUUGGCGGCAUGGGUACGGCACUGCCACCCACCUCACCCGUUACGUUACUGUCCACAUUGCCGAUGACGUCAUCAUCAGCAUCGACGCCGGGGGAGGCGGCGGCAGCGGCGCAAUCGAUGUCGCCAAAGCAGCGAGGGCCCCCGCAGUUGUACGGAAGACCCCGAUCGAACAGCGGCGAGGGCGCACGUAUAUUCCGCGUCGGGGGUGUCGGCACCGGUGGUGAAGCCACCACGUACGGCAUUCAGGAAGCAGACGGUGGGUCGUGAUGGCCAGGUAUGGGGUGGUAUGGAGGGUGGAAGGCAGUUUUUCGGGGGAGGCCUAAAUCUCUGACGAGGCACGUUUUCUUUUAAAAAAGCUUGUUUGUUAAGCCCCAGGUUCGAAGCCCGGACGCCGCUGAAGAGUUGCUAGACGUUGUUACGUUUCGCGCUGCUAUGACCUGAGUGCCGUACAGUUCUCGCUGCUAUGACCUGAAUGUCGUACGUGUUGCCUGCAGGGGAGGAAGAGGAGAGUGAGCUGGAGGGGGCCGAGGCGGCGGGCACCGGGGAUGAUACGGUUAAGAUUAGCACCGCUGGCAGCUUCACGGCAGAGGCGGAGACGGAGGCGACCGCACCUGGCUGGGCUUCCACCUUACGCCGCGGCUCCGAAACCCGGUCCUUCCAUGUUUCGCCGCUACGUGGUGGCGGCGGCAGCGCCUCCGCCAUCGGUACGGUACCCUCCCUGCCGUUUCGUCUGGCUUCCUUCACGUCGUCGUUCCUGCAGCGCGCUGUGUCCAGGAAGCUUUCACCCACGGCAGCGGCAGCGUCGGCGGCGGCAGUCAUUGCACCCGGAGAAGAUGUCGUACGGCCGUACAGUGGCAGUACGGUGGCUGGAACGGUGUCGCCCGCUGGUGUUGCACUUGACGGCGGUGCGCAGCGGUCGGUCUCGUUUCUAAGGGCUCGGGGUGGUGGCGGAAGCAGCAUAGGCGACGGCAAGCAAGGCAGCGGUGACGGCAGCGUGUCGCCGCCACCGCCGCCGCCGCUGCAACCGGCUUCGGCACAACUCGCCGUCAUGGACGACAGCCGCAACGGUGGCACGGCGGUGCACAUGCCGACGGCAGCGGCGGCGGCGGCGGCGAUGUCGCCGCCAACUCAGACCACAGCAACGCACCUGUCGCGCGUCGAUUCACUGCGGCGAAACUCAUCCAAGGAAUCCAGUGCUACCGUUCACACUGCCAUACAUGAAGUCUUACAGAUCCGCCCGUCGGACGGUUUGUACGGUCACGUAUUCCCAAGCCCGACCGCCACCACGUCGGCAGUUUCGCCAUCGGGGACAGCGUCGUUAUCAGGGCCGCCGCCACCGCCGUCGUUCCAGCCGGUACGGCUGGGCCGUUCCGCCACCGGUCUAGGUUUCGGUGCCGCGACGGAGGCGGCUGGAAAAAGUGUAAAUGGACAGGAGCAUCGUUCAACAUCCGCAGGACAGGAGGGCCAGGGAGGGGUGGCUUCGCCACCCGUUUCCGCCGCCAGCCGAUACGGCAAUCCUUUGACGUCGGCUCUCGAAGCCACGCCCCCAUCACCCCGCUGCGACGGUUCCACUCCACCGUUAGAGCCGCAUAUGUCCAUAUACACCGGUGACGGUGACGGCGGCGGCGACAGCGGCAUCAGCAAUUAUGGCGUGUACGGCGGCAGUAGUGCUCGGAUGCAUCAGCAGACGGUUGUCAAUGCUGGCGUCGUCGCCAACCCAGCAGAUACUCACGCCGUCGGUGCGCUUGUUGGCGGAGGCGGCGGUGUUGGCAGCGGCGGCGGCAGUAGCUGGGUCGGUUUGUUCUCAUCCUUGCAUAAUUUCCUUGGCUUGGCAUCACCACACCAGGCAGCGGCAGCAGCUACUGCAGUUGCUGCUACUGCUGCUACUGCCGGUACGUUGUGUCCGAACUCCCCUAAAAAAACCCUACCCGCGGCGUCGCCAGCUGUCUUGAGCAGUAGCGGCGCCGCCACCGCAGCAGGCGCCGCCGCAGCGGUAUGCGCAGGCCGGCGGCGGGCCGUGUCUCACUACUUAAUGGACGAGUCUGUCGACGGUGGCGGCGCUGAUGGCGGCGGCCUUGGAAGUCCUGCGAACGCGGCUGCGGCGGCGCCGCCGACGGGACAGCGGAGCCAGCGGCGGCGGUCCGUAAUCGAGGUGAGUGGGAACGUGCUGUUCCUCAACGCCAGGUCGUCGUACGCCGACAGCGGAUGGCAACUGCCCGCGGAGUCGGAGACGUACGGUUGCGGCGGCAGCAGCACCAUGCUAGCGGAUCAAUCCUGCGAUGGUGGCGCUGGCGAUGCCGUGGAGCCGGAUGCCAUGUACGACGUGUACGAGUUUGCCGAUUUGCUGCACCACGAUGUUUACAGUGGCCAGCUUGCAGCCGCUGCCAAGGCGUCGCCGCCGUCGCCGCCGCCGCCGCUAUCAUUGGCCGCUGCCGUACCCAGCGCUCCGCGUCGUCGCCGGAGCCGCCGCAGUACGAAUCUUUUAGCUGGCGUAGGUAGCGGUAGCGGCGGUGGGAAUGGCGGCGGCGGAGGAGAAACUAAUCUCCGUACGGAUGUCGGCAGCCGGCCGUACUCGCAAUUUCGGCAGCUAUCUAGCAGCUUCAAGGGUGGCAGCCAUGAUGUGGGCGGUUCUAAUUCUCAGCAAAGGCGCUCCCAGCCUGUAAUGCAUUCACCUCGUCCUCUCGCGCACUUCGCUGCCGUCACCGCGGCAGCAGCUACCGCGGGCGACGACAGUGGCAUCGGCAACGGCAACGGCAGUGGCAGCGGCGCAGCCUUCGGCCAAGUGCAACGCUCUAAUACGUCUGCUGCUCACGACCUUGAGCCCGGCGGGGCCGUGAGUGGCCUGGGGCGGCUUGUACGGGGGCUCAACGGGCUAAUCGGCCGCGCAAACAGUACGACAUGCAAUGGCGGCCGCCGCCACCUCUCUGGCGGCUCCCGUCAGGUCUUUGGCAGCCAACGCCGCGGCAGCGUCAACGCCGCCUCCGGCGUAAUGCGCAGCAGCGGCUCCGCCACUGUUGACUUGUACUGCGAUCGCGGCAGUAGCGGUGACGACAGGCUGGAGCGCGGCACCGUCGUCGUUGCCGCUACUGCCGCUGCCGCAGCAGCGACGGACUGCGGUGGCGGCAGCGCCAGCGGAGAGCCGACCACAGCAACGGCAAGCGGACGGCGGUUGGUUCCGGAGCUGGCACGAUCGGCACGAGAGCUGGUGAGUAGGGUCUGGAGCAUGCGCAGCACGCACAGCAUCGGCAACGAAAGCGAUGGCGGCGGCGGCGGCGGUGGCGGUAGCGUCAGUGCUGGUGCCACAAGCAGCAGCGGUGGCGUCAGACGAGACGUGGCUGUCAGCCCGGAACUUACGGCGGCGGCGACGGCCGCGAUGCCGCAAUUGGCUUGCGGCUCUUUAGGUGAACUGGAGCCAGGGGGAGCACUUGUGGUACAGGAUGCGUCUAUUGGGGGACAGCGGCAGAAUAACCGGCAGGAACGGCAUCACCAACAACAUCAUCAUCAUCAUCAUCAUCAUCAUCAGCAGCAGCAGCAGCAGCAGCGGCGGCGGCGCGGUAGCGUCCAGGCGGCAGUGGCCGAGGCCUAUGAGCUAGCGGCAUCCGUACGUGCUGGCGGCGGCAGCGACAGUAGCGACAGCGGCGACGGCGAUGACGAGGACAAGGACACCUGCCAAUACUACAGCAGCAGAGGCGGCUUUGGCGGCGGUCAUGCGUACCAUUAAACAGGAACGAUAACAUUAUGUAACAUUAGCAGCUAGCUGUUGCACACGACCACCCACUACUACCCGCGAUUACCAACUACCACCCGGCUGCGCGGUGGCAAAGCACGCAGUGAGGAGAGCGAGGAGCAUGCUAAUGUUAAGUGCGCGUACGGGGGAUGUGCUUAGAAAGGACAUUUCGUUGAUGCCAUUGCACCACGAUGCACUGUAUGUAUGUUUGUACUGUUUACCAAAGUGCCGUGAUGCACUUGUGUUUCGGUUACAGUUACACUACGUUAUGCAGUUGUUGUGCACUUCUGUGUUUGUAUGUGCGUACGUCUGUCUGUAUGUGUCUGUGCGCUGAGUAGUCCGCAACUUAGGCGAAAUGUCAGACCGCUAGCCAGCUAGGUAGGCAACUGACUAACUAACCGAUUAAAUAAUUAACUGAUUGGCUAUUGGCAGGAGGGAUGGCCUUAGCAGCUAGUAUGAGGAGCUGGCUAACAGCACGGCAGGGGUUUAUGAAGGCGGAGAUGGCUCCCUAACUUCCGAAUGGUGAAUGCGGUGAAUUCGUCUGGUAUUCGUCCGGUACCAGACCUGAAUACCUAAUAGAAUUCAGGGAAAGUUCAACGGAGCAAUUAAGAUUUGGGGCGGAAUGGUGGUGUGUUGUGUUGUGCUGUGCUGCUGUGGUAUCGUAUGGUAUGAUAUGGUAUGAUAUGGUAUGAUAUAAAAUGAGAGUGGGGUUAAAGAGGCCGUGAGGAUGGGGGAACAGAGGAACCAAUACGAAUCCUAGUACUAGUAAUGGUAGUCUGAGUCGUACAAUUAGUCGUACUGUCACAGUAUUGCUCGUAUUGCCAGUAUUGGACCCGAGGCGCAAACGCCUACCUCCGGACUGCGGAUCCGUCCCCUUCUUAGUCCUUACCACCGCCCCACAUCCUUACCCCUAAGGGACGUCUUUCCGUCGGCCUCUUGCCUUUGUGUUAGUUUGUCCGUCCAUUUUAUCGGAUAUUCAUAUACUAAUUCAACCGACCUCUAAUGAUUGAGACUUCAGCUGCAGCGGUCAACAGUCAAACAGUCCACCACUUCGGAUGUCAUGGUGGACCAAUCGACAUAACGAAAUUAGCUGCCUUGACAUGUCAUAUGUAUGUGACUGCUGAUAAUUCGUCGGAUUGCGGGUCCACGGUCAGAUUUAAUUAACUGUUGCCUAACUUGGCUUGCAUGCCCUUGAGGCGUCGAAACCUGCGUUUAAUAGCUUCGCUUGUUAGAAUGGGAAAUAGACUGACUGGAAGUAGGAAAGGGAUUUCGGAGCGAAUCAUAUUAUAUAAAAAUUUACGAACUAAAUUUGACGCUGGACUUUUGGCCCCUGGGCAUGCAUGGAGGUGACAGCCAUAUGCCGUACACAUGUGAUGGACGUAAUAGAGCUUCUGCCAGGGGCUUCGGAGCGUUUUGUUCGCGUACGCGAGCGCGUGUAUUUGUAUAUGUCUGUUUUCUUACUAGGCGAGAACGUCUCUAGUAGAGCCGGCCGCCGAACAAGCCUCUCACACAAUGAUGCUGAAAAAGCACCUCAACGCGUAUCAAAAUAGACGAUGUGCGAGCCGUACAGUACAACAGCUACUACAUUGUCGCUUAUGGUGAAACACAGCACGAACAGCGUUCAAUGGCAUGCAGGUUGAACAGUCGGAAGGGACCUCCGAAACCCUAAAACCCUUCCUAGUCAUGCCCUUGGCAGCAUCAACUACAUCCUGUAGCAAGCUACAUUUACCUUGGAAUAUCUUGAAGCUAUUAAAGCUUAAUCACAGCAACGGUACAGUCUACAGUAGUUACGAAACCAUACUCGUUAACUCUCCUCCCACGGCCUUGCAACCCAACACUUCCGCAGAAAAGCCUAGGGAUGGCUGUUACACAUACACUCCUGGUUGGCUCGCAGGUCAGGGGGUAACAGGGUCCAAGACCGUUCAUAGACAUGUUAGAUUAUCCAUCCUAGGGCCUCUAAACGUGUAUUUCAAGUGCGGAUUAAGGCCAGGGAUUCGCGUUAAUCCCUGUGCUAAUCCCAGCAGUGGAAAUCCCACCGGGAUUAAGCAGGAUUAGCCGGGGAUUAAGGAACUCCUCAGGACACCGUGUUCUCUAUCCAGAGGACUAGCAGGAGUUAGCAAGAGAUUAGGAAAGAACAUAAACUGAACUUGAUGUCCAUGUAUUUACCUAGCAACUUGUGACAAAGGGUGCAUUUCCAGUGCGGAUUAAGGCCAGGGAUUAACCCUCUGUCCUCCAUCGAUUCUUGCUCAAACGGCUAAGUUGUUGGCAAACUUACAUCGCCUUUUCAACCUUUGGUUCCUUUAUGGAACAAAACUAUGUGGUAAGCUCGUACCAAGGACUUCCGUGCCCUAAUCCCUGGCCUUAAUCCGCACUGGAAAUGCACCCAAAAAGUUAUUACCUGGCCACACCCAGCUAGUAACUUUCCGUAUCUGGAUUAGCGUUCAUGGCGUUAUAUCCUACUUUAAUUUCUAGGUAAUUCCAUAUGGAUGACCUCAAGUAAGCAAUAUCUGAUUUGGUUUGCUCGAAAGGUGCUACUUCAAUGUCAGGCCUCAACGGUGGCCACAACGGCGAGAAGAGUGCGCUUCCUGCCCAUAUUUUAUACUCAUACGAUGCCUAAUGCCCAAAGUAAUUCAGAGCUGGUAAUAUUAGCUUCGAGAUCGCAUCAAAAAAUGUGCAUCGCCCUUUGUACGGCCUUAAUCCCCGCGCUAAUCGCAGGCCUCCGGAAUGGCCUGGGGAUUAGCCGGGAAUAGCGGGACCUUAAUCCCUGCAGGGAUGUAUUUCCAGUGUAUACCGCAGGGUGUAUUUCCAGUGCGGAUUAAGGAUUUAGGUAAUCCUGUCCCGAUCUUUGACGAGGAUCGAUCCUGACAAGUCGGGUGUCGGCUUCCUCGAAGCCGGAAAAAGGGCGGGGGCCCUGUAGCGCCGCGCCGCGGCGGGCGGCACCCAGCGGCAGCCCAAAAAUUUUCGCGUUUGGGGGAACCGCUGGAUGGACACACCGGGGCGCCCAGGAUCGUUUAGAGAAAGGAAUCGAUACCAGUAAAUUGUUGUAGCGGGAUCGGAUCGAGAUUUGUGUGCGCGAGCGGAAGCAGAAUCAGAGUUUUGUCCUGAGACCGUAGGCCCAGGUGUGGUGGAGAGCCUGAUGUGAGCAGAGUUUUACUGCUCCUUGGCCACUAGGCCCGAUGUCAGGUUGGAACCUGGUUGGCUGUUGACAAGAUAAAAUGGGUGGGAGUUAUCCACGCCAAGUGAAGGUGAUUUCCGUUACAAACUGCCUUGGCCGGUGCGUCCUGCUACCGUGCGCGGGAGUUGUAUGAUUGGAAUAUCCCUCAGAAAACAUUGGUCAGGCCGCGCCUUAUAUAUGGUAAACGCGCCCGCCAUUCGUACAAUUGUCGUAUGGUCAACGUAAGACGUAGCUACCCUUUUCGCGCAGCAACUGCUCAUUACGCAGCGGUAGCUACCCGUUUACGCAGCUCCUGGCCAGGUUCAUGGCGGCCAACGGAAACUGAGAAGAAACUAGUACAGGAUAUUUGUCAUAGAACAUUUCUCAGACCGGAGCUAGAUCGUCAGACACAAAUCGCCUGCUUNUACGUCGCCCGGUCGAAACAUACAUCGUCGGUCUUUACGCGGUGCGCCGUAUGUACAUGACCAUUCUCAACGCGUUUAUGUAAUGUUACAGAGUGGGGGGCUUCUGGGCCGCUUUAUCACAUUGUCAGUUCUACGAUGUAUCAUCUUAUAGCACCGUCCACCACUACCACACUAUACUUCGCCAUACGAACUGUAAGUCCAAGGCGGCCGUCUAGGACCCCUCCUCAUCCAUUCACCCGAACAGCCGAAGAGACGGAGGGUUCGGCAAUCGCCACCAAUCUAGCGUGCGAAUCUGGUCCAUCAACUGCGACCUCAACUCCACAUUUCAGCAGCUAGCCAUAAUCUCGCGCUCCCGACUAAUUCGGGGGUCUCCCCAGGAAUCGAACCCAGGACCUUAAACCGCGAAUCGCAGUAGUGUCAACCCAGACCAGACGAGUUUAUAGAUUUUAAUUAACGAUGUGGCAAUAUUCGACCUCCUGCUAUGCCCGGAACGAUACGCAACCAAAGCCGUCAGACUCAGUUUUCUAUGACUAGCUGGAAGUCGCUACAGCCCCCUGCAUCCGUGCAGCCCGGUAGCUAGGGCGGCACGUGUGACAAUUGUUGUGUCUACAUGGUGGGAGCUGUGCUUCUCGCAGCAGUGCUGAUGCUGUGGGAGGUAUGCUUCCGCCCCACAGCCGCGAGCUUCAUCGCGACACACUGCAACUCUUCGGAGGCCCCGAGCAUUGGCCCAAGUAAUUGUACAAACGAGCAGCUUGCGUACUUCGUAGAGGAAUGAAAGCAAAUUUGUCGGCCUGCUGUUGGCCAACAGCCAUGGCAUGUCGGAAUGCCUGUGCGGGCAAAUGGUAACGCAAGCUGGGUAUUCGAGUUAUCAUACGCCGUCAUCUCAGAAUUCCAUUAUGAGAUACGCGGCAGCUUUCGGGAUGAAAUUUAGCGCGAGAGGCGUUGAUGUGACUUUUGAGGUCGGUGAAUGGAGGCAGCUAAACUUAUUUGUGCUCAUACGGUCUUUGUUAGCUACAUGCGAGAUACCUUGCAAUAGAGAAUGCUGUAUAGUACCUAUAACGCGUUUCAGCCGGGCGAGAUAUUAUGUUUGGUCCGUUACACACACACGAACACACACACACACACACACACACACACACACACACACACACACACACACACACACACACACACACACACACACACACACACACACACACACACACACACACGGACAUGGGCAAUCCUACAGGUCGGGGCCCCCCUGGGCGCUUCGCGCUGGGGCCCCGCCCAAAAACCUUUCAGGGCCAUUAUGCCGCGCCUCAGGGUAUAUUGAAUGUAAUAGUGUAAUUCGGAGUAUGAUUGCAAGUCCAAUUCGCUCCGGCGACGUCCGGUGUUUCACAUGCGAUUGCGGCAGAAAAUGUCGCACAGUCGCGAUGUUCCCAUGACAGCCUUAAUCUGGCCUGAAGUAAUUGUAAAGGAUAUUACUCUAUAACUAUGCACUUUUUGAUCAAUGUCAUCGCCAGCCUUGUACUGUGUAGCUGCAACUAUUGGCGAAGAAUGCUCGGUGCGCUUGGUGUAAUUUAUCAACUGGAAAUGAUUGAUUUAUUAUCGUAGACGUAUUUAUAAGCAACGGUUUGUUAAAUGCCUUCUCUAGAGAAUGAAAUUCAUCGAAUCAUGCCCUGAGAGGGCCCCCCAGACUCUCCCAGACCCCAAUUCCGCUUCAGGCCCAAUUGGCUCCGGUUCAGAGUCCAAUUCGCAUGAAUGUACCCUGAUCCGUAUACAUGUGAACACGUCCUUAAUACAUCAGUCGUGUCGGAGCCGUAUGCUUAAGUAAUUUAAUGCAACUGUUGCAUUUAGCAUGAGAUUCUGUUGCCUCCCAUAUCACGUGUGUACAUUUCACUCUCCCAUAUCACUUGCAAGGAUCUGAGUUGCAAACAGCAAACGGCCAGAAGGAGAAGUAUCAGGUACCAUUUGUGCGGCAAGAGUUGUGGGAGCUGCCAGACCAGCGCACCACCUCCUGUUCGCUGAUUUGUCACGGCUACCCCUACACUACCACGUUUCCAAACAGGUUGUGAGAUUUUGGGACCGUGUCCGUUUACAGCGUGGGUCUGUGGCACACCAAGUUUUGCGACAGGAGGUCGCAGAGUCCCUCUCCAACCUCGAAGGGCCCUGAUCGGGGCAUUAGCUAAUGUCUAUAGUCCUCCGUUUUCUAAGUUUUCUGGGGCACGACGUAUGGAAAGAGGCCCCGCAAGGGCUACACGAGGUAAACGAACGAGUGGAAUGGCUGAUUAACAGGCCAUUGCAGAAGGUGUGGCAUCCCGCAUGUCACAACGUUUAUCCCACGUUCAGUGAAUCGCAAGCUUAUGCAGUUUAGGUUUUGCUGUUUGGCAUUGGCGGCGAACUGAGCGUGCAAGGGACGGCGUUAUAUACCUAGGGAGGGGCGAGUAUGCCCCUGCUGCGGCACUGAUAGCCAUAUUGAAUAUGAGAAGCACAUUUUGCUGGACUGUCCGGUGUACUUCAAAAUCAGAUCUGAUUUGGAUUUUCCACGCUUUGAGCAUACGAAGGACGCUAUGAAGUGGGAACCUGAACGUCUGGCAAGGAUGCUGGAAUGUAUGUGGUGCCACCGCAACUCUAUCGUUCCCGUUGGUCGUUAGUGUCCUUUAUAACUUGCUUUGUCUGAAGUGCGAGGUCGGAUGGUGCUUAUAGGCGAUCUGGCUGCCCUUGAGCCCUCGGCUCAUAUUUGGGCGGUUUGCAGGUACGGGAAACGCACCCACGAACAUGACACACACACACACACACACACACACACACACACACACACACACACACACACACACACACACACACACACACACACACACACACACACACACANNNNNNNNNNNNNNNNNNNNNNNNNNNNNNNNNNNNNNNNNNNNNNNNNNCGUCAGCUGCAGCUUUUCGGACGGCGAUGUUCAACGUGGAUCUCGGUAACACACACAUAUGUAUGUGUGUGUUACAUGGUUGGGGGCGCGUGACCCCAUACCUGUAAGACUAGCCAUACGAGCCGAAGGCCCAAAUACUUCACACACAUAUGAAAAACUUAUCAGAGUAAGGUUUCUCUUCGGCGUGCUUCAGAUUGAGUGCAGUGCGACCUGUUCGGGCCCAGGACUUCCUGGUCGGGUGGAAAAGCCGUAAUGCAUUGCUGGUAGGUCUGCUGUAUUAGCUCGAUGAGCUCGAACAAUAGGCGGUGUUGUCAUGCGGCGUUGUCAUGGCGGCGUUGCGCGCUAAAAUUGGCUUAUAUAUUUUUUAUUGUCAUUCAAUUAUGUGAAAUUGCAUUAUUCCGAUUAUUGUUAAAUCCUACAUGUUUUACUACCUUCGCGUUCACGAGCGUUCACGGAUAAGUUGAGUAUGCGAAACAGGCCCGCGACGAUAAAAAAUGUAUAUUUACUACGUGUUCUAGGGGCUGAGGCCAUUUCAUAGUUAUUAUUAUAAAUUUUUAUAUAAAUUUUUAUAUAUAUAUAUGUAUAUAUAUAUAUAUAGAUUUUAUAUAGAUAAUGUCAUAUGGAGAGGGUGGACAAGCGUCCGCGACCUGCAGUUUGUCGGGGGUUCUUCCGAGGUCGGGCCCCGGGGCCCCAUCGGUGAGUUCUCUGCGGCCGGGUCAGGCCUGGCCUGGCAGCUGUGCAUGGCUGGGCACGUACGACUGUGGGGCUUGAUAAGGAGCAAUAAAUGGUGAAAUGUGGUUUCAUAGCGUAGACACUCUUACCUUCUCCCGUUUUCUCCCGUACAGGUGAAGCAUCGCGUUUUGAAUGACGAAUGCGUCUUGGCAUUUGGUUAUAAGUGUUCAUAAGAAGAUAACAGCCAUCGCAGUUCAAACCGGCCAGAACGUCUUCAUACGGGCCGCCCAGGCGGGCGUCUUUGCCGUGGUACGGAAUCCGGUAUUAGGCGCAAAAUAUUUAGCUGUUCGUGUUUACGCGGCUGCAGGGCACAAGACUAUUACUGCUGCUGGCUUUCACCGGGCUCUCGGUCCGCACAAAAUACAUACAAUUCCUCGUCAUUUACUGUUAGCUCUUCCACAUCCGCAUCGAAACCUAAUGCCCUGCUAUUGCAUGGGCAACCAAAACGCAUCCCUCAGCAAUGCACUUGCUGCUGCCUUGCCUAGGCUCUCACACCUUUCCAGCAGCGCUGGUGCUGCCUUGCCCUCGCAACUCAUCACGUACUGAUCGAUCCAAAUCAUGCUGGACAGCCAGACUCCUACAUGCAUGAUCAUUUGCCGUGACUGUUCCUACGUACCAGGGUUGCCUUGCCCCGGGUAUUUUUUAUUAGCAAGCCUGCUAGUAUUGGAGUAUUAGUAUUAGUAUUAGUAUUAGUAUUAGUAUUAGUAUUAGUAUUAGUAUUAGUAUUAGUAUUAGUAUUAGUAUUAGUAUUAGUAUUAGUAUUAGUAUUAGUAUUAGUAUUAGUAUUAGUAUUAGUAUUAGUAUUAGUAUUAGUAUUAGUAUUAGUAUUAGUAUUAGUAUUAGUAUUAGUAUUAGUAUUAGUAUUAGUAUUAGUAUUAGUAUUAGUAUUAGUAUUAGUAUUAGUAUUAGUAUUAGUAUUAGUAUUAGUAUUAGUAUUAGUAUUAGUAUUAGUAUUAGUAUUAGUAUUAGUAUUAGUAUUAGUAUUAGUAUUAGUAUUAGUAUUAGUAUUAGUAUUAGUAUUAGUAUUAGUAUUAGUAUUAGUAUUAAAAAAACUUGUAACUAUUAGCAAGGCUGCUGCUCAUGCAACCCUUGGAAGCUUCUUUGGUCUUACAUCCCAACGAGGAAAGAUCGAAGCAUAAAUAUGAUUCUCGAAAUGUUACAUGUAAGUUUGUGUUAUUCGGCACUACCUACGUAUGUUGUAGGUACGGAAGUGUACGUACUUCGUACGUGCCGAGACCCGCGUUGAACCCCAUCCACCAACUGAGCAAAUGUACAAAUCACCACCUUGCCAUCUACCUCCUACCAAAACUAAUAGAGCUAAAACUAGACAAGUUGGAAAGCAUGUACAUAUACCGCCGCACGACCAUCUUGUACCGAGGCUACCUUACGACAGCUAGCGACGGCAAACAGCAGGAUCAAAACGAGAGAGGGGGGCCCUUGAGCUCUCACACGCACUGAUAAAUCCUGCAAAUAUUCUCAUAAAAUUAAAUACCCAACCCGACAAUCCUUAGUCAAGCCUGUAGAAGACUGGUAAUAAGCUGCUGCUGUCCACUUCAGCGAAUAGUGCCUGCUGCCCGUUUUUCAACGAGUUUCGUAGCAGCGCCAGCAGCUGCUGCUGUCCACCGUCUGACCCAGAGAAUUGCAUGCACUGGGGGAGGCUUAUGGAGUUCCCUGAUGACCUGAUGAUCGCGCAAACCGUUGCGCCGCGCUGCUAGCUACAACCUUGGUAAAUAAAAAACUAUUAGGAAAUUGCGUGAGCGUCAUGGAGUAAGAUAGAAAGGUAAGAUUACUACGGGACCAUGAACCCCGGCCGGGCGUAUAUGUAUGGUAAUAGUGGGGGGGGGGUCGCGAUGAGUUUGGAGUCCCAGCAGCAGUCUCAACGUCGUGGAGUAAAUAUGCCACCAUGCGCUACGCAUACUACUGGUUGCGCAAAAGGGUCAGGAGGUGAAUCCCCACGCAAGCCCGCAGACAGAUGCAGAAACCAUGACCGGCAGCAUUUGGAGACGCAUACUGAUAGCUAGAUUUCUCCUACAAGGAGAUUAAAAUAGAGUUCUUGCAUUUUCGCAUCAUCAUCAUCAUCAUCACCAGCAUCAUCAUCAUAGUUCAAAUGCAUCAUACAUCUUCUCUAUCUCAUCGUAUAACAAUCAGAGAAUAGUGCCAGGGCAGCACCUUGGAUUAUUGAGACCGUAUGGCUGGUCGUUUGGAAAUGAGAAUAUGUUGACCUGCAAGCAAACAGCGUUAAUAUUAGUGUAAUGAACUGAUCUGUAUCGUUUGCAGAUAUGUGAGAUCACGUCGGCAAUCCAUGGUUGGUAAUGGAGACCUGACAAUAUACCUAGCUAUUCGCUAGAUAUAAUACAUCAGCAGGCCAAAACAACGCCAUGGAAAUCGCACUAGCAUUUUAUUGAAAAAAUAGAUAAUUAAGGGCGCAGGCGUACGAAAGUUAUGUUUUUCAUAAUCUACUAAAUAUAAAGGGCCCCUGGCGCAAGUUUAAAACUUAAGCUACUGAGCAACUGCUAGGUAAGAGCCUUUAACACCGGGGUGAAGUUUAUUAUUCUUCAUAGUAUACUGUCAUUACUAGUUUUACGAAUUUUUCCCUUGCUACUUGGAUGCGUUCACUGUGUGUCGGUGGGCAGUCGCAACUGUCCCUCGAAACGGGAGCCUCCGAGACGAACACGGACCAGCAUUUAUUAGCCAGUAUUUAUUACCCAGGACGAGCCGCGGCGGCGUGCACACGUUCGCGGUUACAGUCGCCCACCUGGCAUCGACCCCUGUAGCAAAACUUUGCAGUGGUGGCGCAAGGGCUCGGGUUGGAAACUAGCCAACAGAAGCGGGUCCCCACAGGGUCGAUGUCCCUACGCGGCCACAUGCCAGUAAGCAUUGCGAUCGUAAUUCAAUGUAGAAAUGUGUGUGUGGUUGUUACAGUGGCCUCCAGACUCACGAAGAUAUGUGCAAAUGUGGACAAUUCAAGCAAGCAGUAGUCACGGGCACAUCACUCCCUCAAAACCACUGUGCAGUCAAACGCAAACCUAAAGACAGGUCGGUAAUAAGCCUGCUGCUGGCACACACUUCAAGCGAUCAGGCUCAUUAUUACCUUAAUGCAUGAAGGCUUCCGAUGAUCAAGAUUCACAAUGAUGGAGUGAUAACGGCACUUACCCCAGAUUCGAAAACUUGAGGGCUACGAAGCUCUCAUUUGUGGCCGUCGUGUAAGAUGCUGUCCGGCAGGCAAUCAAAGAAAAGGGGCAGUCAUGGGCGGCCAUGGAAAUUAUGGGCGAGGGUGUAGGAAGUAGUUCAGCAUGGCGGGGUCAGAAGGCGGAUGGUCUGCAUGGCAACCCUGUAAGGUCAGCAUCCACACUCGGCGCCACACACGCACAGGCACACGCACACACACAUGCACACACACACGCACACGCACACGCACACACACAUGCACACGCACAUGCACACACACACACACACACACGCACACACACAUGCACACGCACAUGCACACACACACACACACACAGACACACACACACACACACACACACACACACACACGCACACACACAUGCACACAC
rnacentral:lncRNA from 1 species